UUGCAAAUUUCUUAUGUAUUAAAUUUUAAAUUUCUUUAGAGUACAACCAAAUUGAAAAUUGGGCAUCCAAUUCCAUUUCCCGAUUUUAAGCAACUAAACAAAUGUUCUCUCUCAUUCUGGCCUUUAUCAUUUUGACCUCAAAAGUAGAAGAGGAACAUGACUACAUUGAUUGGAAACCUAAAAACAUCUUUCUAUUAAGUCAACCAACAAGCAAUUAUAUAGGUGAAAUGACUUUUUAAACUAUCUUAUUUGGAUUCGAUAAUUGAAUGUGGAUGAUGAUACACCUUCCUUUAUUUUUUUUUAAUAUUUUUAACAUGUGAUUUAUAUGUAGCCAUCAUCAUCAUCGGGAGGGCCGUACCUGGUAUAUUGUGUCUACUUGUCUAUUUAAUCUACAAGUUUCGACGAAGACACUUAUCAUUGGAUGAUGGUAUUGAAGAAUUUUUACAUAGCCAUAAAAAUCUUCAGCCAAUCAAAUACUCAUAUUCAGAGCUAAAAAAGAUGACUCAUAAUUUUAAGAAUAAAUUAGGUCAAGGAGGUUUUGGCUCUGUGUACAAAGGAAAACUCCGAAGUGGACGCAUUGUGGCUGUAAAAAUGUUAGUUAUGUCAAAAGCUAAUGGGCAAGAUUUCAUCAAUGAAGUUGCUACAAUCGGAAGGAUUCAUCAUGUUAAUGUGGUGAGACUUGUUGGAUUUUAUAUACAGGGAUCAAAAUGGGCUCUUGUAUAUGACUUCAUGCCCAAUGGAUCUCUUGAUAAGUUUGUUUUUCUUGACCAAGGAAACAACAUUCCUUUGAGUUGGGAAAGAUUAUACAAGAUUGCACUUGGAGUGGCACGUGGGAUUGAAUACUUACAUCAAGGAUGUGACAUGCAAAUUCUCCAUUUUGAUAUCAAGCCACACAACAUUCUUCUUGAUGAAGACUUCACACCAAAAGUUUCAGAUUUUGGUCUUGCAAAAUUAUAUUCAAUAGAUGACAAUAUCGUAUCCAUCACUGCUGCUAGAGGAACCUUGGGCUACAUUGCUCCCGAAUUAUUCUACAAAAACCUUGGAGGUGUAUCAUUUAAGGCUGAUGUUUAUAGUUUUGGAAUGUUGUUAUUGGAAAUGGUGGGGAAAAGGAAGAAUGUGAAUGCAUUUGCAGAACAUUCUAGUCAAAUAUAUUUCCCAUCAUGGAUUUAUAAUAGAUAUGAUCAAGGAGAGGACAUGGAAAUGGGAGAUGCCACUGAGGAUGAAAAAAAGUAUGUAAGGAAAAUGGUGAUAGUUGCACUAUGGUGUAUACAAAUGAAGCCUAUGGAUCGUCCUUCAAUGAGCAAAACAUUGGAGAUGCUUGAAGGAGCGGUUGAACUCUUGAAAAUGCCUCCUAAGCCAACUCUAUGGUCUAUUGAGAAUCAUGAGCAAUCCAUGGUAGAGUUACCAAUUUCAUCAUCCAAUUCCAUGGGUACAAUCAGCUUAUAUGGAAGGUAGUCCCACUCCAUCUAGUUGCUUAUUUUGUAAUCCAAUAAUAAUGUGUGAUUGUGUUUUAUGUGUAAGGUUUCUAUGAGAUCAGUGUAUGUAAUAAAAUAAAGUUUCUUCUUCAAAUAGUAGUUUGGUUCCUUGUAAGUAAGGUUAUGUACAAGUAAUAAAAUAUCAUUUUAGAUGUUUGAAUAGUGUUCUUGCUUGCCCUUAAAAUUAUCAAAGAAAAUCCUCCAUUUCCUUUGAAGUUCUUUUUUUUUUUUUUUCAACUAUUCUACAAAAAUAAUUAUUGGGGUUGUAGAUGUUCAGGUAAGUUAUUUUGUUUUAACUUGUUGCUAGUAGUAAUCUAGGCUUUCAAGGAUCAAUACUGCCAAUUACAACAUUUCUUUUGUAAGUAAUUCCAUAUAGUUUUUGUUAGAGAAGUGUCCUUGGGCCCUCCAAAGGUUACAAUUACAUUCUUGGACAUUGGAUCGCACCAUUCCAUAUAUGGUUCUUCAAAUUAAUGGACACUUUGAUUUCUCCAUUAAUAGAUUUCUACUCCUUAUUGAAAUUUAAUUAGGACUUUGAUCUUACCCUUCGCACUUUUAAUCAGGCUCUCAAAUCAAAAGUUGCAUUUUAAUAGAGAGAGAAUUAACAAAGAAGCAACAAUUUAAGAGCUCAAACCUUUCCUUGGUAUAUGUCUAUUACUAUAAUUCAUUAUGAGCAUAAAAUUGUAGGAGUAAAUAAAUAUUCAAAAUUUUAAAAUGGUCUCCUACAACUCACACUCCUUCAAUAAUUUCUGUGGACCAUUGUACAUGUGGUCAAUUUUGAUGCUCUAUUUAUUGAAUAUGACUUUUCAAAUAAAACCAUCGAGUCAAUUUUCUUGACACUAAAAGUAAGUUGGUCCUUAUAUUUAUAGGACUCUAUUUCUUUUAUCUUUAGAAAUGUGAAAUGUGCUAGAUGUGAUAGGACCAUAAUACUACAUGAAUUAUGCCGAUAAUACCAUACAUUGUAUUUUAGUACAUAUCUAUGAGCAAUGUCUAUUUUAAUUUAUUUAUGAAUAUAUUUUGCUUGCUAGAUUUCCAAAGCUUCACUCCCAUUAAAUAUAGAAUAUGGGGAAUCUAGAUUUUCCAUGAAUUGGUCAAAACCUGUGUGUGGAAAUUGUGAAGCAAAAGGUGCGAAAUGCGGGCUGAAGAUGAGUAAUGACAUGUAAUCUGAAAUUGAGUGCAUAAAGAAGCCAGAAAAAGGUACGUGCUACACAAUAUUAGCCCAUGCCAUAUUCCUUUGCACCCUGAUAUGGAACCUCUUCUCCAAUAAAUGGGAAUCAAUAUUAUUAAUGUGCUGCAUUUGAGAUUGGGUACAAAUAGAAGAGGAUAAGAAUAUAUACAUAGAUCGUUCUAUAGCAUUCCAAUAUAUCCAAUAUAAUUCAGCCACAACAUGUGUUAUGAAACAACACUAAAAGUCUGUUUGGUAAUCAAUUUAGCAAGUGCUUUUAGCAUGAAAAGUGUCUUUAAAAAAAAAAAUAAGGGUUUAACAAAAUUUAUGAAAUACUUUAAAAAAUUUUUAAAAAUUUUUGUAGUAUUUUUUUAAAAAAUAAUUGAUAAGUGAUUCUCAUAAAAGCACUUCUAGAUGGGCUUAAGCAUGCUUAAAAAGAGAGGACUUUGUGGAAAUCCAAACUUUACAGAUUAUAUUGAUGAAGCUCCAGAAUGAUAAGCGAGAAAAUGUGAAAUUCAGAUGAAAAAAUCAAAUGGGUGUGAAGGGAGUAAAGAGAUUAGGGGCAUAGAGACCUCUGCCAUAGCUGCGAGUGAUGGGGUCCGAGCUCAGAAUUGAGUAUUAAUUGGCUAGGCUGAGGUGACCCCCUUUAAAUAGACCAAACUUUUUGAGUUUUACAAGUCAACCCAAUGAAAUGUGGAAACGUGGCAUGAGUGAGUUCAGGUUCGUUUCAUCAAGUUUGACGUUAGGUCAAAUGGCCCACAAUUGCUGACCGUUUUGUCUGCAUGAGCUGGCUUUGUCGACCCCUCUGCCUUCUUAGGCUGAUGAGGUACAAUUAUGAUCAUUCACCCCAGGAUGGGAAUAGUACACGCGUCUUAAGUACACUAUAUGUAAUCAUCUUUCUUGUGCAAAUGACCUGGUGGACUUCAAACUUAAAUAAAAUCGAUAUAUAUAUAUAUACACACACGCGUAAUUAUCGAUAUUUUUAUUCUUAAUUUCAAUAAAUUAUUAAAAUAUUGUGAUCGCAGGUACCACUAAAUCAAGUUUACUCUUUGUUAAAUAACAUGUAUCAACCACACACACACACACACACACACACAUAUAUAUAUAUAUAUAUAUAUAUAUAUAUAUAUAUAUAUAUUAGGAUAUAAAUAAAAUAUUAAAAAAAUAAUUUUAAAAAUAAAUUAAUUAUAAUUAUUUUAUAAUUAAAUAAAAAAAGUUAUUUAAUUAAUUAGCAAAAAUAUAAAAAUGAUCAUGAUAAUAUUCUUUAUUAUGUUUUUAAUAUAUUAAUUAUAAUUUAUCAUAAUUUAUUUUCUAUUAUAUCAUAAUUUUAAUAUUGUUGGCAUUGUUUUUAUCAACCUUCUAGUUAGGUGUCUCUCAUCAUAAGAGUAGUUUUGAAUUUUCUAGUAAAAGGCCUUUAUGCUUGCUUCAUUCCUUUAAUGAUUUAAAUGAACAAAAAAUAGAAAGAGAAGAUUGUCUUGUGUUAGCGAAAGCUUUAAUUGAUCAGGUGAACUUUAGAGGUUGUUUUCAAACUAGUUGUUGUGGAGACACCAAAAAACUUGUUUCAAAUAAGUUGUUUUAAAAAUAAUUUUUUUGUUUUAAUUUUAUAAAAAAAAAACAUUAUAAAUUCAAUUUAUAUAAUAAUAAUAAAUUAAAAAUGAAAAUAGUUUUAUAAUUAAAAAUAAAUAAAUAAAUGAAUAGUUUUUUUCUAGAACAUAAAUAGUAAUAUUAUAAUAAAAUCAUAGGUUAUAUAUUUUUAUGAAAAAAUACAUUAUUUCAAUAUAUCUUAGAAGCAUAACCAAAUUAAUAUGUUCAUAAAUUUUAAAAAACAAAAUACUUGUUUGGAUAAGUUGUUUUUCAAAAUAAUUUUUUUGUUUUGAUUUUAUAAAAACAUUGUAAAUUUAAUUUAUAUAAUGUUAAUUAAAUUUAAUUCAAAUAUUAUUAAAAAUGAAAAUAGUUUUGUAAUUACAAAUAAAUUAAAAAUGAAUAGCUUUUAGUAUAACAUAAAUAGUAAAAUUAUCAUAAAAUCAUAAGUUAUAUUUUUUUUAUUAAGAAAUACACUAUUUUUAUUUAUGUUAGAAACAUAAGGAUAUUAACAUCUUUGUAAAAUUUUUUAUUAUUAAAAAAAAUAAACGUAAUUUAAAAAUAAUUAUUACUAAUAAUAUUUCAUUUAAAAUGAAUAAAAAAUAAAGUUUAACUUUUUUUAAACAUGUAAAUAAACCAAGUUUUUUUUAUUAUAUUUACACAUUUAAUACUCAAUUAUGAAUAUAAUAUUCUAUAAGGUUUUGAUUGAUUUUGCAAUUAAUUGGUUUGGCUUUUAAAUUUCAAGUUAUUCUUAAAAAUCAAAAGAUUCAUUAAAAUAUUUAAAUUAUUAAUUAUAUCUUACUUAAUUUAUAAUCUAUUUACUUAGUGAGAAAAAUAAAAUAAAAAUAUAGUAGUUUGUAUAGGAGAAAUAAUAAAAUCAUAACUCAUAAUAUAUCACUUCUAAAGUUCAUUUUUCUAAUAGAAAAUUGGAAAAAAUUAUAAAAAUAUAAUUAUAUGCAGAAAAUAAUCAAUAAAGUAAUUAUGAAACAAUUUUAAUCCAUAAAUUUUUAGUAUUAAUGAAUUUAUUAUUUGAGUUUUAAAUUAUUUUUAAAAAAUAUUAGAUUUAUCCAUGAUUCCAACACAUUAAAUUUUAUUUAAUUUAAAGUUUAUCAUCAAAGUUCAACGUAUCCUAAGAUUAACUAAAGCAACAACCCCACUUCACCACUUUACCACAUGAGCUAAGAUGAAAAAGCAUGUUUCAAACAUUUCACGUUAGGGAGACGUGAGAACAAAGAAAAAAGGAAAGGAGAUAAAAAGACUUGGAGAUAAUCUUUAAAAUAUAGCAUUCCUCAUGUUAUGGCAAAUAGGUUUGUGUUGACCCUAAAGCUGCCUCCUCGGCCAAAUUGGCUCUGAUGAUGCUAGGCCUCAAGUGUGCUUAGCUAGCCCAAAUCCAAGCUAGCUAGCCCUGCCUUGCCAGUUAGCCCAUAGGUCUGUUGGGCCUUUAAGGACCAAAUAUUGCAUAUUAAUUGUAGAGACCCUGUCUUUAAAAACUGAAAAUUUGGUCUGCAAAUGGAGUUGAACAAUUGUUAUGGGCUGAUCACUAGGACUACCCCAAGAGCCUAUUGUUGGGCUUGCUCCUCUGGAAGGCAUUUUGGAACUAAAUGAAAUUAGCCAAAAGUUGAUAAACUCGUUUAUAAGCCUUUUAUAUUAAUGUUCUGGCUUAAAUGGAGUAAUGUUUAAAACAACAUCACAUUAUUAAAUUUUCCAUCUUCACAACUCAAAUCAUACAAAUAAUUAAAUAAAUUACUUUUAUGAAGAGAUGACCUACUCUACUGAUUUUACUUGAUUAUUGUCUUUUUAUCUCUGACACUCGGCAGAUUGCAUAGGCUAACACCUAAACGAAAACAUGCUUUUCUAGUGAAUGCCUUUCAAGUGAUAGUCUAAGAGUUCAAGCCACCUUAUAGUAUAUGUCUAUCAUUAUUAUUCAUUUUUAGUGUAAAAUUGAAGGAGUAAAUAGAAAUUCCAUCAAAAUUCUUAGUUGAUCCCUUUCAAGCAUCAUAGUCCUUCAAUAAUUCCAAUAAGACUAGUGUCAGCCCCUUAGCCACUUGAUUCAGAUCCGGAGAAAUAGGCCUCAUGGGUAGGCCUUGCACCCAUGAGAGCCUAGGCGGAAAACAAGGAAAGCCUGGAGGUUUGGCGGUUCAAGCCCCAGGAGCUAAGUGUGGGGAUCGCGGACAAGUCAAGCGCGCACUCCGGAUAAGCGUUACCGAAGGAUCCGAACAUGUCUACCCGGGGAAGUUGAAUCGUCCUCCUCUCCCAUCCGGCGACAGGCACCGGAUGUGAUAUAUCCGGGUGGAUGGAAUGUCGACGGAUAGGAUUCCGGAUGUGAGGUAUCCGGGUGGAUGGAAUGUCAGCGGACAGGAUUCCGGAUGUGAGGUAUCCGGGUGGAUGGAAUGUUGGCGGACAGGAUUCCGGAUGGGAGGUAUCCGGGUGGAUGGAAUAUCAGCGGACAGGAUUCCGGAUGUGAGAUAUCCGGGUGGAAUGAGUGAGGAUUUCCGUCCGGGUGUAAUGGUGCAAUGCCAUAGCUCGUUGAAGCUGAACCUGACGAGUGGGAACAGUAGGCCCAGGCCAUGGGCACCUUGACAUGGCUUGGGCUCACGCAUCAGUGUGGGGGAGGCACACUAAUGCAAUCUGGUCAACUAGUGAUCAGGUCAGUCAGCUGCAUGGACUGGCAGUGGGCUGAGUCACUACUGAUGCUGAUGCAAGUGGGUGGUUUCUCAGCAGACCACCAUCUGGGUAGUAGGUGGUUGUGCAAGCGGUUCAGAGCGGUUCUAGGCGGUUGCAUAACCACCAGGGAAAAAAACUACAGGGUGAGUCUUUUAAAAGGGCUCCUGCAGCCUUGAGAUGAGGGAGGAAGAGAGAAGAGGGAAAGUAGUCUCUGAAUGCUUGGGAUGUAAGCAUUGCUCUCUGACUUCAGGAAACAAUUUUGUAUCUUGUAGAUUGAGAUUAAUACAAGUUGGGAAGGAUUUCCUAUAACCUCGUUGUGUCCCUAUUUCCUUUGGUUUGCUAUUGUUUGUGUGUGUUUUGAGAAGGCUGGGAAGAAAGGUUGGCUAAGGAAGGGUCCUUAGCACCGCGCACCAGGUGAAAAAUCUAAGGUGAUUUUCGAGGGUGUGACAGUUGGUAUCAGAGCAAGCACCAGAGAUGGCUGGUGGUAGUGCAAUGGAGGCCUUACGGGAGAGGAUGACUCAAAUAGAAGAGGCGCUAGGAGAAUGGCCACGUGAGGAUGGCACAGUGGCUUCAUGGGCAGAGCACACCAUGGGAGAAGUCCAAAUGCAGAGGAGUAGGUUGGAGUCCUAUGACAAUUUCUUUGAGGAGAAAUUGGCUGAGUUCAAAAUCGAGAUGUAGUCCCGGAUUGAUGACUUCAAGGAGACCCUGCAGUCCUAUGGAGAAGACAUCGCCAUCUUUAAGAAGGCGGUGUUGCAGGGAUCUACCUUAGGCCCAGAAGCCCCUUCCAAAGUUCGAGUCCCAGAGCCUAAAGGCUUCAAUGGCAACAGAAACGCGAAGGAACUGGAGAACUUCUUGUGGGACAUCGAGCAGUUCUUUAAGGCUGCUCAUGUUCCUGAUGGCGAGAAGGUUUCCAUCACCAGUAUGUAUCUAACUGGUGAUGCCAAACUAUGGUGGCGAACUAGGGUGGAGGACGAUGUAGAGUCUGGAAGGCCCCAAAUCACCACUUGGGAGACUCUGAAGAAGGAAUUGAAGGAUCAAUUCCUUCCCACCAACACGACUUGGGUGGCCAAGGAGGCACUAAAAAGGCUCAGACACACUGGGUCUGUGAGGGAAUAUGUCAAGGAGUUCAGUUCUUUGAUGCUGGACAUUAAGAACAUGUCCGAAGAGGACAAGUUGUUCAACUUCAUGUCUGGGUUGCAAGAAUGGGCUCAGACGGAACUCAGGAGGCAAGGGGUUCGGGAUCUCCCUGCUGCCAUGGCUACAACAGACUGCUUGGUGGACUACAAGAUGGGUGGAGCCAUCUCCACCACGCAGAGACCCAGGUCAGAAGGAGACAAGAAGGCUAAGAAUGAGGGCAAGACUAAGAAGUCUGAUUGGAAGAAACAUAACAAAAAACCUGCUGAAUGGGGAAAACCAGUGGAGAAAACCACAAAGGUUGUGCAGCAGACCACUCGGAUGAUAGGAUGCUUCAUCUGCAAUGGCCCACAUCGAGCCAAAGACUGCCCCAAAAGAGAGAAGCUCUCAGCCCUGGUGACUGUAGAUGACAAGGGAGACUCUGACCCAGACACUUCUCCUAGAGUCAAUCCCUUGCAACUUCUGAAUGUGAUUCAUGGUGAGACCCCAGUACAGAAGUCUCUGCUGCACAUCCAUGUUGUAGUGAAUGGUGUGCAAGUGAAGGCCUUGUUGGACAGUGGUGCUACUCACAAUUUCGUGGCCACUAGAGAAGCAACCAGGUUGGGACUUAAAUUAGAGGAGGACACCAGUCGAAUCAAGGCAGUCAAUAGCAAAGCCCAGAAGAUUCAAGGGGUAGCCAAGAAUGUCCCUAUGCAAAUCGGUGACUGGAAGGGUACGUGUAGUUUACUUUGUGUACCUUUGGAUGAUUUUGACUUGAUCCUUGGUGUAGACUUUCUCUUAAGGGCCAAGGUGGCCUUGAUUCCACAUCUUGGUGGACUGGUGGUGCUAGAAGAGAAGCAACCUUGUUUCGUGAAGGCCUUAAGGACGAAAGAUGGUGGUAAGGGACAACCUGAGAUGCUGUAUGCUAUUCAAUUGAAGAAAGGAUUGAAGAAGGGUCAGGAGACCUAUGUUGCAGCCUUGAUCGAGAUCAAAGAGGAACAGUUUGUGGAAGUCCCUGACUUAGUGGUCAAGAUCCUUAAAGAGUUCAAAGAUGUGAUGCCUGCAGAACUCCCCAAGGAGUUGCCACCCCGGCGACCCAUUGACCACAAAAUCGAGCUGCUACCUGGAACAAAGGCCCCGGCUCAAGCCUCUUAUUGGAUGCCUCCUGUAGAGUUGCUAGAGUUACGUAAGCAACUGAAGGAGUUCCUGGAUGCAGGUCUGAUCCAGCCCUUCAGGGCCCCAUAUGGUGCACCAGUGCUGUUUCAAAAGAAGCAGGAUGACUCACUCCUCAUGUGUGUGGACUACAGAACCCUCAAUAAGGUGACCAUAAAAAACAAGUACCCAAUCCCCUUGGCUGCUGAGCUAUUUGACAGAUUGUCAAAAGCUUCUUACUUCACCAAGUUGGACUUGAGAGCAGGUUAUUGGCAAGUGCGGAUUGCAGUAGGAGAUGAGGGGAAAACGACUUGUGUAACUCGGUAUGGCUCAUACAAGUUUCAGAGAUUGAGAGAGAAUAGGUUUUAUGUGAAGCCAGAGAAAUGUGAGUUUGCUCAGGAGGAGAUCACAUUUCUAGGACAUAAGAUCAGUGCAGGACUGAUCAGGAUGGACAAGGGUAAGGUGCAGGCUAUUAUGGAGUGGACAGUUGCUACCAAAGUGACGGAGUUGCGAUCCUUCCUUGGCUUGGCCAACUACUAUAGAAGAUUCAUUAAGGGGUAUUCCAAGAGAGUGUCUCCCCUUACUGACCUGUUAAAGAAGGACAACUCCUGGGAUUGGAACAUGCAGUGUCAGAUGGCCUUCGAAGGCUUGAAGGAAGCCAUUUCCACUGAGCCUGUGCUGCGGUUGCCAGACCUGGACUUACCCUUUGAAGUCCAAACAGAUGUCUCUGAUAGAGCCUUGGGUGGAGUCUUGGUGCAAGAAGGGCACCUUGUGGCAUUUGAAAGUAGGAAGUUGAAUAAUGCAGAACAGAGGUACUCCAUUCACGAGAAGGAGAUGACGACUGUGGUGCAUUGCCUGCAGCAGUGGAGACAUUACUUGCUGGGAAGUAUCUUCACAGUGGUCACGGAUAAUGUGGCCAACACCUUCUUCAAGACCCAGAAGAAGCUAAGUCCCAGACAAGCGCGAUGGCAGGAGUUCCUGGCCGACUUCAAAUUCGAGUGGUUGCAUCGACCAAGGAGACAUAACACUGUGGUUGAUGCCUUGAAUAGGAAAGAGGUAAUUGCCUACAUCACUGCCCUCUCUAAAUUCAUAUCUGACUUCAAUGAGAAGAUCAAGCUAGCUGCGGAGCAGGAUGCUGCCUAUGGCAAGCUGAAGUAGCAAGCAAAGAAGGGAGUGAUCAGGAGGUAUUGGUUAGAGGGUGACCUCCUUGUGGCAAAAGGGGGAAGAUGGUAUGUUCCUACAGGCGGCCUGAGAAAGGAUUUGUUAUGGGAAACUCAUGAUUCGAAGUGGGCAGGCCAUCCCGGAGAAGAGAGGACCCUGACGCUGCUAGCCAGAUCCUACUUUUGGCCUAAGAUGGGUGAGGAUGUCCAGACAUAUGUCAAGUCUUGCCUGGUUUGUCAGAUGGACAAGACUGAAAGGAAGAAGGCUGCAGGGCUGCUGCGCCCCUCCCCAUUCCAGAAAGACCUUGGGAGAACAUCUCCAUGGAUUUUAUCACUGGGUUCCCAAAGGUUCGUGAUUUCAAAUCUGUCUUUGUUGUGGUAGAUAGAUUUUCUAAGUAUGUUGUGUUUAUACCUGCCCCUGAUGCUUGCCCUGCGGAGGAAGCUGCUAAGUUGUUUUUCAAUAAUGUGGUGAAACAUUUUGGGUUACCCAAGGACAUAGUCAGUGAUUGAGACGCACGAUUCACAGGCCAGUUUUGGGUUGAGCUGUUCAAACUCUUGGGUUUAGAGUUGAAAUUUUCCACAGCCAACCAUCCUCAAACUGAUGGGCAGACGGAGAGGAUCAAUGCAUUACUGGAGGAAUACCUCAGGCACUAUGUCACAGCAACACAAAAAAACUAGGUGGACUUAAUGGACACUGCACAGUUGUGCUACAACUUGCAGAGAAACUCAGCGACAUGGAUGAGUCCCUUUGAGCUAGCUAUUGGGGUGCAGCCACGGAUGCCUUUGGAGGUGGCUAAGCAGAAAAUAGGAGGAAAUUGUCCUGCAGCAUACAAGUUGGCUCAGUCCCGGCAGGAGAUGUUCGAUGAAGCCUGGGACAGUCUAGAAAAGGCAGCUAGACGUAUGAAGAAGUAUGUAGAUCGUGACCGCAGACCCUUAGAAUUUCAGGUUGGGGACAGGGUUCUCUUGAAAUUGACUCCUCGGAUCUGGAAAAAGAUCAGCAGCAAGACAAGGCAGAGAGGUCUAAUUCCAAAGUAUGAUGGACCAUUCGAGGUGAUCAAACGAGUUGGACAGGUGGCCUACAUGUUGAAGCUGCCUGAUAGGCUUAAGCUUCACCCAACUUUCCAUGUAAGCUUUCUGAAGCCUUACCAUGAGGAUCUGGAUGCAGAGAGGGUGCAAACAAAGCGAGCCCCUCCCUUGGUCAUGAAACAAUUUGAUCGGGAGAUAGAGAAGAUCUUGGAUCACAGGACCAUGGGACACAGCAGAAAGAACCGGCGAACUGAUUUCUUGGUUCAGUGGAAAAGGAUUUCAGAAACUGAAGCUUCAUGGGAAAGAGACGUUACUUUAUGGCAAUUUGAGAAGGAGGUCUUGGCAUACUGGCAGUUUAAGUCGACGAGGGCGUCGACUUCAGCAGACGGGGGUGGAUUGUCAACCCCUUAGCCACUUGAUUCAGACCCGGAGAAAUAGGCCUCAUGGGUAGGCCUUGCACCCAUGAGAGCCUAAGCGGAAAGCAAGGAAAGCCUGGAGGUUUGGCGGUUCAAACCCCAGGAGCUAAGUGUGGGGAUCGCAGAAAAGUCAAGCGCGCACUCCGGAUAAGCGUUACCGAAGGAUCCGGACAUGUCUGCCCGGGGAAGUUGAAUCGUCUUCCUCUCCCAUCCGGCGACAGGCGCCGGAUGUGAUAUAUCAGGGUGGAUGGAAUGUCGGCGGACAGGAUUCUGGAUGUGAGGUAUCCGGGUGGAUGGAAUGUCGGCGGACAGGAUUUCGGAUGUGAGAUAUCUGGGUGGAAUGAGUGAGGAUUUCCAUUCGGGUGUAAUGGCGCAAUGCCAUAGCUCGUUGAAGCUGAACCUGACGAGUAGAAAUAGCAGGCCUAGGCCAUGGGCACCUUGACAUGGCUUGGGCUCACGCAUCAGUGUGGGGGAGGCACACUGAUGCAGUCUGGUCAACUAGUGAUCAAGUCAGUCAGUUGCAUGGACUGGCAGUGGGCUGAGUCACUGCUGAUGCUGAUGCAAGUGGGUGGUUUCUCAGCAGACCACCAUCUGUGUAGUAGGUGGUUGUGCAAGCGAUUCAGAGCGGUUUUGGGCGGUUGCAUAACCACCAGGGGAAAAAACUACAGGGUGAGUCUUUUAAAAGGGCUCCUGCAGCCUUGAGAUGAGGGAGGAAGAGAGAAGAGGGAAAGUAGUCUCUGAAUGAUUGAGAUGUAAGCAUUGCUCUCUGACUUCGGGAAACAAUUUUGUAUCUUGUAGAUUGAGAUUAAUACAAGUUGGAAAGGAUUUCCUGUAACCUCGUUGUGUCCCUGUUUCCUUUGGUUUGCUAUUGUUUGUGUGCGUUUUGAGAAGACUGGGAAGAAAGGUUGGCUAAGGAAGGGUCCUUAGCACCGCGCACCAGGUGAAAAACUAAGGUGAUUUUUGAGGGUGUGACAACUAGCUAUAUUGACAUUGCCUAUUAUAUUUUCAUCAAUCAUAUAGUCCAUUAUGCAUGUGUCAAUUUCAAACAAUAGCCUACCAAUGAAUUUUCUUAGUAAUAAAUGGACAUUUUUCCUCACCUUGGAAGACUUUAACACCUUUGCAGUAAGACAUGUGAUAGAAGAAGAAUCUAUGAACUUUUCAACUAUAGGUUUUUAUGGAAAAAUGGGUAAUAUACUUCAAGAAUGCAACAAAUAAUCUUUUUUCUUUUGUCUUGCUUGACAAACCAAAUAAAAUAUUGAUUGAUUUUUAUUGCGAAGGUGCCUUGGCAGCUCCUUCAAGUUGCCAGGAAAGUUCGAUCUUUAAAAUUGCUUAGUUUGUACUAUCAUUGCAAGAAAAAGGCAAAUGCCAUUUAUCAUCUUCUUGCAAAUGUUAAACAAAUGCAAAUUAUGAAAUUACGUUAACUAAGGUCAUAUUUAAUUGAUGGUCUAGACUAGGAUAAAAUAUUAAUGAAAUCUAUGUGUAUGUGUAAUAGUUUAAUUUAUAUAAUGAUAUAAUUAUACUUUCUUUUUUCUUUUUGAAACCAAAAUUUUAUCUUUUUAAAUGAAAAUUUGUCCUCUCCUUACAAAUGUGUAAUGAGCUUGAUGUGAUACAGGAAAGGUGUGAAUUGCUCAACCAUGGAUUUUUGGGGUUAAGUUAAUUUAUUGUACCGCAUGCUCAAUAGGCCAUAAGGGAUGCCAAUGUUGAAAAGUGAAGUAAGACAAAACGAAACUGACUUGCUUCUCACCGUCUUCCAUCUAGCUCAUCUACUUUCAAACAAAAAAUCCAUCAUUGGGAAAUUCUCACCUUCUUCCAUCUAUCAUAUCUGGCCCAUCUACUUUUCCAUGAAAAAUCCACCAUUAUGAUCUUGUUUUUUGUUUAUUUUUUUAUAUGUAGAGAUAAAAAGGGUCCAAUUUAGAUUGGAGCUAUAUUAAUCUUUCUUUGAGAUGAAACUCAACCAAGGAACAAGUUGAACAAAUCAUAACAUGAAGAAGAGCCAAGCAUAUACGUCCGUAAGUGUAAAAACUUAAGGUGACAUGGAGUCACUUAUCCCUAGUCUCAUAUGGUCACCUAAAGUACAAUUUAUGUAUUUUAUUUUAUAUUUGUUGUGAUCAUUAUCUAUACACAUGAAGAGGUUUCAUAGAUGAAAACCUAGUAAAAAAAUGUUUUAAUGUUUUUCUAAGGAAUAGAGAAACAAUAAACAACACUAUUUUACCGGGAAUAUGAAGAAAUGUUGAUGUUAACAUUUUUGCUUUUGGAGAGCCUAUGAAAAAUUUCCCAUUUUCUAUGCAAUUUUACUAGGGGAAUUCUUUGUUUACAGCUUCAAGAUAUUGAAUAUUUUGAUUAUGUGCUUUUGGAAAUAUUCAUAAUGUAUCCAUUCACUGUGAUGGUGACUUUGAAGAAUUUUUUUAUUAAAAUGAUUAAAAAAUGGAAGGCUCUUCACUAAGAUUGUAUUGGCAAUAGGUUGUACAAGCCUCAAGGAUUUUAAUCAUUUAUAGUAUAGCAUUUCCUUCAGACAAUUUACAUUUUUCUAUGUGGUUCAUUUGAUUUCAAUCAAUGUUGAAAUAUGCUAUAGUGAGUGAUAAUUCCAUACAGUGCUUUUAUAGCCCACCAUGCUAUGUAGUCAGUCAAGUAAAAAGCAUGAUAAUUAAGAAGCCAUGGUCUUGUUGCUUCUUGAUCAAGUAGACAUGUUAACAUGUUACAUAGAGUAUCACUAUAGGUAGAAAUUGGCCUGUGUCAUUCUAUGGAAAAAAUUAAAAAAAUUAAAAUAAUUACUACACACAAAGCUUUGAUCAAUUAUAUGGCCAUUGAAGAGUAGGCUUUUGCAAGUUUCUAGGCCAUGGAAUUACUAAACCAUUCAUGUUCCGGUAAAAUAUUAAGUAGGUAAUUGUUAGAUGCUAAAUAGCCUGUAGAAUAUUCCAAGGAUUAGAAAUAGUUAGAAAACAAUCAUCAAAUAAAGUGAGUUUCAAUAAUAAUUUGUUACCAUUAGAUGCUAAAGUAGUCUAUCUUUGGAUAAAAAUAAUAUGGUACUAUUAUUUCCAGAAAUUUAAACAUUAUCUCCAUUUAAAGUUAGUACAUUAACUUUUUCAUGGCUUAUAAAUGAGUUCAUAAACAAUAUUCCAGGCUAUUUCAUUGGGUUCCAAAAUGCCUUCUAGGGAGACAAGCCCAAAAACUGGUCCAUGAUCCUAACUCGGCCUAAGUCGUGUAUGGAUAUGGACUGGGCGAAGUUGUGGCUUACCACUAGGCUUGACCCAUGAGCCUAUUGUUAGGGUUGAUGCUCUGAAAGGCAUUUUGGAAUCGAAUAAAAUAGCCUAGUUGUGUAUGGGCUGAUCACUAGGCUUACCCCAUGAGCCUAUUGUUGGGCUUGCUCCUUUGGAAGGUAUUUUGGAACUAAAUAAAAUAGCCAAGAGUUGAUAAACUCAUGUACAAGCCUUUUAUGUUAAUGUUCUAGCUAAAAUGGACUAAUGUUUAAAACAACAUUAUAUUAUUAAAUUUUGCAUUUUCACAACUCAAAUCAUACAAAUAAUUAAAUAAAUUACUUUUAUGAAGAGAUGACCUACUCAGCUGAUUUUAUUUGAUUGUUGUCUUUUUAUCACCAACCCUCAGCAGAUUGCAUAGGCUAGCACCUAAACAAAAACAUGCUAGUCUAGUGAAUGUCUUUCAAUUGAUAGUUUAAGAGUUCAAGCCACCUUAUAGUAUAUGUCUAUCAUUAUUAUUCAUUUUUAGUGUAAAAUUGAAGGAGUAAAUAUAAAUUCCAUAAAAAAUCUUAGCUAAUCCCUUUCAAGCAUCAUAGUCCUUUAAUAAUUCCAAUGAGACUAUUGACAUUGACUAUUGUAGUGCCAUCAAUUGUAUAGUCCAUUAUACAUGUGCCAAUUUCAAACAAUAGCCUACCAAUGAAUUUUCUUACUAAUAAAUGGAUAUUUGUCCUCACCUUGGAAGACUUUAACAUCUUUGCAGGAAGACAUGUGAUUGCAGAAUAAUUUGUGACAAAUAAUCUUUUUUGUUUUGUCUUGCUUGACUAACAAAAUAAAAUAUUAAUUGAUCUUUAUUAUGAAGGUGCCUUGAUAGCUCCUUCAAGUAGCCAGGAAAGUUCGGUCUUUAAAAUUGCUUAGUUUGUACUAUCAUUGCAAGAAAAAGGUAAAUGUUAUUUAUCAUCUUCUUAUAAAUAUUAAAUAGAUGCAAAUUAUGAAAUUACAUAAAAUAAUGUCAUAUUUAAUUGAUGGUCUAGACUAGGAUAAAAUAUUAAUGAAAUCUAUAUGUGUGUGUGAUAUUUUAAUUUAUAUUAUCAUAUAAAUAUACUCUUUUUUUUCUUUUUGAAACCAAAAUUUUAUCUUUCUAAAAUUAGAUUUUUUUUAUUCAAAGUGAUUAACAUGAAAUAUUUUAUUGUCGUAAAUCAUAUAUCAUAUGGUCCAUUAUACAUGUGCCAACUUCAAACAAUGGCCUACCGAGUGAAUUUCUCAACAAUAAAUGGAUAUUAGCCCUUGCCUUGGAAGACUUUGACUGUAAGACAUGUGAGAGGAAGAAUCUUUGAAAUUUUCAAAUAUGGAUUCUUGUGGAAAGUGGGUGAUAUAUUUCAAAAAGUCGACAAUUAAUUUUUUGGGUUUUGUCUUGCUUAACUAACCAAAUAAUUUUUUGAGUUUUGUCUUGCUUGACUAACCAAACAAGAUAUUGAUUGAUCUUUAUUAUGAGGCAUCUUGGCAACUUCCUCAUGUAGUUAGAAAAAGCCAAAUAUCAUGUAUCACUAUUGUAAUACCCAAGUAUUUUUUUAAGGGUAAUUUAGGAAAUUACUAAUAAUAAUUCAAUUAGUUAAUUAAUUAAUUUAAUAAAGUGGAAAAGGGGUAAAAGUGUAAUUUUACUAAUAAAUACCUUAGGUAUAAAUUAGAAAUUCUAUUUCUUCCUGUUCUUUUCUGAAUAGAGUUCCUAUUCGCAGAAUUUCAGAGAACGUAGGUUGGAGUCAGAUUUCAGGGUUGAAGAACAGAUCUCUAUAGGUAAGAUUCUAACCCCUAGUUUAAUAUUUUAGAUUUAUUGAUUAAUUUCAAACACAUUAGAUAUCUUUUGGAAAACCCAAAUCUAGAUUAGGGUUAGUUUAUUUUAUUUUUAAUUCGUUUUAAUAUCAAAAUAAUAAAAAAUUUUAAGAUUUUGAUUUUAUUAUUGGAAUUUGGGAGAUCUUAAGUUUUAUUAGAUGAAAAAAAAAUUUCCUUGGAAAGUUUCGAUUUUAGGUUAGGGUUAAUUUUAUUAAAAAAAAAGAAAAGAAAAAAGAGAAAAAAAAAAGAGUAAAUAAAUAUAUUAUUAUUUGUGGUUGAAGGGAUUAGAAAAUGUACAAAAAAAAAAAAAAAGAACGCGUGUGCACAGCACAUGAAGGAAGGAAGGAAGGAAGGAAGGGAAAAAAAAAAAAAAAAAAGGGGGCGUACGCGUGUACUAUGCUACUGGAAGCAAAAAAAAAAAAAAGCGUGUGCCAAAUGGAAGGAAGCCUUUUAUAUAUAUAUAUAUAUAUAAUGAAUCAUGAUGAUGGCAAAAAAAAAAAAGAAAAAAACUUGCUUUUUGGUUUGGUGUACCCGAGACAACUAGGUAAUGGUUGAGUGACUUUUGAAUUGGUUAAUUAAAAUAAUAAUAUUUAGUUUUAGAUUAAUGAUUAAGAUAAUAGUAAUAAUAGUCUCUUUUUUUUGUAAUAAAUAGAAUGAGAGAUUUAGCAAAAUAGAUAUAUAUUUAUAUAGAAUUUUAUAAUGAAAUAAAAUUGUAAUUUAAUUAAAUUAGUAAUGUGUUAUUAGAAACAAAUUGGGAAUUUAUUAGUUUUAUUUAAAUAAGGAAUAGAUUAAUUAAAUUAUAAAUAAAUAGUAAUAAUUGUUUCUCUUAUGUUAUAUUAGGUGAAGAGUAGAUUUUUUUUUUCAGAAUUAUUCUUCUCCCAAGCUUUCAAGGACUUCUUUUGAGGCAAGGGAAGUUAAUGCAAUAUUUAUAAAAUUUAAAUUAUUUUAUAUGUUAUUUUGAAUUGUGGAAAAGAAAAUGAUAUUUUAUUACCAUGCAUGGAUCAAACUGUUUUGCACUAAAUAUUAUAUUGGAAUAUUUUGUUUUAUUUAUGACACAAAAUAUGGAGAUAUUAUGUUGUGUAAAUUUGAAUACUUGAACAAAAACAUCACACUGGUUUAUUUGGCCCUUGUCAACGGGAUAUAAUAGUUGACUAUUCGGCCCUGUCAACGAGAUAUAAUAGUUGACCUUUACAUUUCAUGGUGGGAAUGUAAUUGAUUUGGACCCCAGCCUCUAGGGGUUUGGUUAGAGGUUACUAGUACUAGUAGUGUUUGGUUCCGUCCACCAGGAACAAUUUGAGGCUAGCCACCCAUUUGAAAAGUCCCACCUAACUGGGCAUUUGAUAUUUGAUAACCAGAGUAAUGAAAAUUGAAUGGAUUUGAUUGAAUCUUAUAUGAAAGUGUUUGAAUUUGAUAUGAAAAUGGUUGGUUAAAUUUUGAAUAUAUUGGUAUUUUUGAAACUCUGAUAUUUGAUAAGAAAAAAAAAUGAUAUCUCCUAUUUGAAAUGAAAAUAUUUGAUCCAUGAACUGCAUUAAUAUUCCUUAUUGGGCUGUGAGCUCAUUCCCAAUUGUUGUAAAUUUUUCAAGUAUCCUUAGUUUGGGUGAGGAGUGAUGGCUAGGCUGAGGAAUGGUCAUCAUUAGGAUUUGACUUAGGAUUUUAUGUUGGAUUUUGUUUAACUGUUAGUUAUGUUCAUUUGGAUCCUUUGGUAUUUGGAAGUUAUUUGGAUAUUGAUUCUUCAAAUUUUAUGUUAGAUCAAAGUUGAGUGUUGGAGAUUUUGAAAUUUGUUCUAGUACUUGAAUUGUUUAAGUUUGCAAAUAUUUGGACAAUGGAUUUUGGAUAGUGAAUGUUUUAGUUUUGAAAUUGAAUUUUGAGGAUUUUAGAUUUUGUUCCGCUACUCUGAACAGAUAUUUGGUAAUUGGUAACUUUCAAUUACAAGAUAAUUGUUUGGGUCAGGUUACACGGUAAGCCUUCGGGUUUGAGGUGUAAAAUGACCGUCACGCCCUUGGAGUGGGUCUUGGGGCGUGACAACUAUCUUAUGAAUGUUAACCAAAUACAAGGUGGUGAAAUUAUAUAAAUUAAGAUCAUAUUUAAUUGAGGGUUUAAACUAGGAUAAAAUAUUAAUAUGUAUUUCAUAUAUAUAUAUAUAAUUUAAAUUUGUAUUAUAAUAUAAAGAUGCUUUAUUUUUCUUCUUUUUGUAAUAAAAAUUUCUUCUUUUUAUUUGAGAUUUUUCUUAUUUUUAUAAAAGACAUCUAUAUUGCAUGUUUUUUGUGAGAUUAUUAAAUCUCAUAUAAAGGGAUAUGAUAAAUAAAAUGAAUAAUCAUUUUUCUUAUCUAUUUUUCAACCAAACAUAAAAUAUAGUUGAUAUGAUCUUAAGAACAUAACAUGUAUCUUAGAUAAAGUAAACAAAAAAAUAAAAAAUAAAAAGGUUAUUAUAUAUGAUUUGCAAAUAAAACUAAAAUGUAAAUCAAUUAUUUUGAAGAAUAUAAAUGCCCAUUACUAUGUCAACAACCCUUGUACAUGGAUCAAAAUUCUUAGCUAGUCCCUUUCAAGCAUCAUAUUCCUUCAAUAAUUCUAAUAAGGUCGGCCUUGUUGAUAUUCAAUAAUUCUAAUAAGGCCGGCUUUGUUGAUAUUCAAUAAUUCUAAUAAGGUCGGUUUUGUUGAUAUUCAAUAAUUCUAAUAAGGCCGGCUUUGUUGAUAUUGACCACCACAGUCAUAAAUCAUACAGUCUAAUAUGCACAUGUCAAUUUCAAACAAUGGCCUACCAAUGAAUUUUCUUAGCAAUAAAUGGAUAGCAACAUAUUCCUUCAACUACUCCAACAAGACUGGUUUUGUUAACAAUGACCACUAUAUUGUCAUAAGUCAUAUGGUCCAUUAUACAUGUCUCAAUUUAAAAAAAAAAUGUCUACCAAUGAAUUUUCUUAGCAAUAAAUGGAUCUAUGAACCUUGACUGGAAGACUUUGACUCCUUUGCAUUAAGAAAUAUGACCGAGGGAAGGAUUUAUGAACUUUUCAAAUAUGGAUUUGAGUGGAAAAAUGGGUAGUAUAUUUCAAGAAGGUGAUGAAUAAUUUUUUUGGUUUUGUCUUGCUUGACUGACCAAAUAAGACAUUAAUUAAUCUUGAUUGCAAAGGUUCCUUGGCAGCUUCUUUAAGUAGCUAGGAAAAUUCAAUAUUUAAAUUUGCUUGGUUUGCACUAUCAUUGUCAAAAAACACAAAAUGUUAUCUAUAAUCUUCUUAUGAAUGUUAAACACAUGUAAAUGUAAAUGAUGAAAUUAUGUAAAUUAAGGCCAUAUUUAAUUUACGAUCUAGACUAGGACAAAAUAUUAAUGAAAUAUGAUAAUUAAUAUAUAUAUAUAUAUAUAUAUAUAUAUAUAUAUAUAUAUGCUUUUAUUUUUUAUUUUGGUUAUUCAAAGUGAUUAACAUGAAUUUUUUUUUGAAAGAAAUAUCUAAGAGAUCUAAUAAAUACAAGAAAUAAUUUUAUUGUCCAAAAUAUAUGUAGAUUCCAUUUUUUUCAUGAGAUUAUUAAAUUCCGAUAUGAUAAAGAGAAUUAAUAAAGCUAAUAUGACCUUAAGAGCAUAGCAUGCACCCUUAGAUAAAGUAAACAUGAAAAUAAGAAGGCUAUCAUGAUUUGCUUGUAAAACUAAAGUUUGAAUAAAUUAUUUUGAAAAAUAUGGUGCCCAUGAGUAUAUCCAAAGCCUUGUAAGUUGGAUGAAAGGUUAACAUACAAAAGUGUGGUCUUGGAUUAGAAAAUGCAAGAUAUAGAAAGAAAAUACACAAAGUAUAGGUCAAAUUAAGUUUGCAAAUAAUUUUUUUUUUCUUAAAAAUAAUAAAGAACUAUUAUUAUGACUAUUCUCAAAAUUCAUUUUUGAAAAAUGUUAUUAAAAGUAGACAUGCCACAUUCAUACUCGUUAUUCAAAAAAAAAAAAAAAACCAAACAAACAAACACAGAAAGAAGGAAAAAUCUAUUAAAAAAAAGUCUAUAAAAGGGAAAAUACAUUAAACUAGUGUCAAGGUUCUAUCAAAAGCCUUAUUCUAUGAAGUCAUGAAUAAGUUAUGAUUCAAUUGAAACAUGAAGUACACAUUUCCACAUCUUGCCUAGAAACUUGUUAUUCCAUAAAAAGUAUAGGUCAUGGAAGUUGAUUAAGGUGAGGAUUGAAAUUACUAAAAAUAUUUUUUGGUAAAAUAAUUUUUGUCAUAAUUUUAUGGUUAUCCUAUAUCCUACUUCAAAUCAACCUACAUGAAAUUAUAGUAUGUAAUUAAUGAGUGUAUGGUCCUUCAUUGAAACCUCUAACCAAUUAAGACAAUAUUUAAAGCAAAAUUUAAACCCAAACCUCUUAAUCCACUAUUUUUCUAUAUCGAUUUUCUCUCCAAAAAGUUUACCCUCCUUUCCUUUGUUCUAUUUAGUCAUGGUGUCACCCCCUUGUAAGCAAAUAAUUUCAAUGAAAUCUUAAAACUAAUAACUUCUGCACAAUAAUAAUUAAUGUUUCAACUGUCAAAAACAAGUUAGGCUAACAUUACCUAUUUACAAGUUAAUUUUACAAUCAUCUUAUAAUUACAGUGAAAAAAUAAAAUUCUUUUUUAUUAUUAUUUAUGAAUGUAUGGUUAGCAAAUGUUGUAAUUAAUGGUUCAUGAUCAAUGAGAUAUUUUUACAAUAGACUACUUUUAAGCUCAAUUUUGAAUUAAAGUCGUGUUAAUUAUCUUUUGACUUAAGUCUUAUAAAAUAUUUAAUAAAAUUAAGUUCUAUUUAAACUUCAGUCAAACUACAGUUCAUUUAGUUUUAAGAUAAAUUAAACAAAUCUCAUUUGAGAAAUUGAGGCUUACAACAGUUUUCCUUUUUUACCAUUAAUUUUCCUAUUAAGUAAUGAAAUGCUCUAGAGAGCUCAUUGUUUCCUUAUUAUUAAGAGUAAAUUCAUAAGAAAAACUUAUCAUAUGAUUCAUGAAAAAAUUAAUAAAAAUCAAAAUAAGAUUUUAGACAACUUUACAUUAGUUAAUUAAAGACAUUUUUUUUUCUAAAUUGGAAAUUGCAAGAGAUACCAUUUUAGGUUUCACCAUAAAUGUAAAAGCAAAUUCCACAAGGAUAGAAUCCCAAUUGAAACUCUUAGAAAAAGAAACUUGUUUAAAAGUCACUUGAUAUGAAUUAUUUUAGUUACUCCAAAGGUGGGUAUAUAGAGAAAGAUAUACAAUUACAAACAAAAAAUGAUCUCUCAUAAGUCCAAGUUGCAAUCCCUCACCACUAUGGUCUAACUCAAGGAUCAACUUAAUUUAGUUAUUACAUAACUAAUUAAUCUUACUUCUCAUUCCAAUAAAAAGUGGUAAAGAAAAAAGAAAAGAAAAGAAACAAAAGAAACAAAAGAAACUCUAUAUGUUUAUAAUGGAUGAGACUCUUAUUUUCAAGCUUCAUGGAUUUGAUUCUAUUACUAUUUCAUGCAAUUCCCUCUAUCAUAAAUGUGAUGGACAUUAGUUACUCUUACUUGACUGAAAGGUGGAUCUAUAGAGUCGUGUGUAGUUGAACUAUAACUUGGGUUGUGAGAAUAUUCUUGGACAUAUUAAAAUAUCAUACAUGAGAACAAGAACUUUUGGAAUCUAACAUCGAUUCUGGUAUAAUCAUUUUGCACAAUCAUUUGUUCAAUUAACAUAAAUAUAAAUAGAAAUGCUAUGAUGAUGAAUUUUUAUCAAAUUAUACAUUCAUAAUAAUUUGAACAUGUAGACAAUUAUUUUUACUCUAAUUCUGAAAUUCUUGUCAUUUUGUCUAGUUGUCUAGUAGGGAACCCGAUCGCCAUUGUAAUCCUGAGCAGUGAACAUGGAGCUUUUUCUUGUCAAAAUUCAUGCUAUCAAUUUCCAUAAUUUGUAUCAGAACUCUAAUAUAGACGGAAAAAGAAUGAAGACGAUUGUUUGGGCCGACCUUAGGCUUGGGUUUUGGGUUUAUUAAAUCUCAUUACAAGGUCCACCCACAGUGAGACUUGGUAAGGAGAAAAAUGACCCAAAGAAAUAAUGGAAGGCCAUUGAUGGAAUGCGCAAUUAAUGUUCCAAACAUUAAGGCCAUGUUUGGUUCAGAAAUUACUAAAAAAAGAAAAAAAAUGGUAAAGAAAAUAAUUUUCUUAUAUUUACUUUCAUUAUAAAAAAUAAGAAAGAAAAUUAAAUAUAAUAGAAAUUAAUUAUAUAUAUAUAUAUAUAUAUAUAUAUAUAUAUAUAUAUAUAUAUAUAUAUAUAUAUAUAUAUAUAUAUAUAUAUAUCUUCUUUGUUUUGAAUCAUGACAUAAUUCCUGUUUUCAUUGCAUAUGACCUUGUCCUGGGUGUCUAUGUAUAUAUAUAUAUAUAUAUAUAUAUAUAUUUUAAGUUAUUUAAUCUUUAUAUAGAAAAAGAAAAAUAGGUGAAAUAAAUUUAAAAUAGUAUAUAAAAAUAAUUUAUUAUUUUUAUAUUUUUAUUUUUAUUUUCCUUUACUUAUUUUUUUUCUACUUUUUCUCUUUUUUUUUUUUUUUUUCAUUCUUUUGUAUUUUCUUUCAAACUAUUCGGAAUCAAACAUAACUUAAGGGUAUAUUUGGUUGCGGGAAAAUGAAAGGGAAAGAAAAUAUAAAAGAAAAUAAUUGUUUAGUUGGCAGUCACAUAGAGCAAAAUGUCACAAUCAUUUAUUUUUUAUUUUCAUUCCAUUAAUUUCAAGAUGGUACGUGUGGGUUGCUUAAUAUCAUUGUCUAGUUGGCAGUCACAUAGAGCAAAAUGAAAAAGAGUCUUCUACUUUGACCAUUGACCAUUGACCAUUGACCAUUGACCAUAUUUACUGAAUUUAAACAUGUAGACUUCGGAUUUCUUCUAUGGAGGCAAAACAACUUUCUUUACUCGGUAAGGCUUUGAGAAGUUCUUUAUAAUAAUAAUAAUAAUAAUAAUAAUAAUAAUAAUAAUAAUACAUGGAGACUCCAUGUCCCUUAAAAUUAUUAAUUUGAUGAUAAAAUGAAAUGAUAAUUUAUUUUUGAAGUUCACUAUAAAUAAAUAAAAUAAAGAACUGAUAUUUUAAAUUACACAUUCAAUCCCAUAAUAGUCAAAAUAUGUUAUAUUUGCUUAAUUUUAUUUUUAAUUUAAAUUUAUAUAAUAAAUAUCUAAAACUUUUAAAAGUAUUAUAAGGCAUUUGAGAUUGAGGUCAUAAUUAAAUAAAGAAAUUAUAUUUAAAUUAAUCAAUAGUAUAAUAAAUGAUUGGAUUUUUCAUCCACUUAAUUAAUAAUAAUUAUAAUGAUGAUGAUAACAAUAAUGAUGAUGAUGAUUAUUAUUAUUAUUACCUUUUCGCUUCUAUCCAUUUUUUUCCUAAUUUUUAAUCAAAAGAAUAGUAGUAAUAAUAACUCUUAUAUUUGUUUUUUGCUCAUUUUAAAUCUAUCAUAUGUGUGAAUCUUUCUUUUCUUUAACUUAAUAAUUUUUGUUCCUCUCAUAUUUGCAGUUGGGUCAAUGUUGAUAUUACAACUCAUGGGUAAGGCUUCCAAAUCUCAAUAAGUAGAUCAUAUAGCUCUUUUCGCCUUGCACUUUUGGAAUCCUUUUAUUCAAGAUUAGACACUACAAUCAAGUUUUGUAAAGCAUUUGGUUGUACAAAAUGAAUAAUAAAUUGAAAUUCCAAAUUUGUGAAAUUCAAAAUUUUCUUUCAAGUAAAAUUGGUUUUUUUUUUUUUUUUUUAAUUUGUGAUGCAUUUAAUUUUAAAUUAUUCCCAAAUUUGUUACAAGGAAAUUGAAAAAUAGAGCUGGAAUGAGGCAUCUCAUUCCAUUCCUUAAUUUUGUGCAACCAAACAAAUUUUCUCCAUUGAUCAUUCCAUCCUUUAUAUAUACCAUGCUGUCACCCAAAAGAAAAAGAGUCACAUGACCAUGUUUGAGUGGAAAUCCAAAACACAAGUGAUUAUAUAAGUGAAAUGGCCUUUUUAAAACUAAUUCUAUUUGUUGGAUUUGAUGAUUGAAUGUAGAUAGAUGAUUAUAAAUCUUCCUAUGAUGUUUUUCAUAUUUUUAACAUGAUUUAUAGGCAUGAUCAUCAUUGCGAGGGUCGUACCUGGUAUGUUGUGUCUGCUUGUCUAUUUAAUCUACAAGUUUCGAUGAAGACACUUAUCAUUGGAUGAUGGUAUUGAAGAAUUCUUACAUAGCCAUAAAAAUCUUCAACCAAUCAAAUACUCGUAUUCAGAGAUAAAAAAGAUGACUCAUAAUUUUAAGAAUAAAUUAGGUGAAGGAGGUUUUGGCUCUGUGUACAAAGGAAAACUCCGAAGUGGUCACAUUGUAGCUGUAAAAAUGUUAGUUAUGUCAAAAGCUAAUGGGCAAGAUUUCAUCAAUGAAGUUGCUACAAUUGGAAGAAUCCAUCAUGUUAAUGUGGUGGGACUUGUUGGAUUUUGUAUACAAGGAUCAAAAUGGGCUCUCGUAUAUGACUUCAUGCCGAAUGAGUCUCUUGAUAAGUUUGUUUUUCUUGACCAAGGAAAUAACAUUCCUUUGAAUUGGGAAAGAUUAUACAAAAUUGCACUUGGAGUGGCGAGUGGGAUUGAACACUUACAUCAAGGAUGUGAUAUGCAAAUUCUCCAUUUUGAUAUCAAGCCACACGACAUUCUUCUUAAUGAAGAUUUUACACCAAAAGUUUCAGAUUUUGGCCUUGCAAAAUUACAUUCAACAGAUGAAAGUAUUGUGUCUCUCACUGCUUCUAGAGGAACAUUGGGAUAUAUAGCUCCAGAGUUGUUCUAUAAAAAUAUUGGAGGAGUUUCAUAUAAAGCUAAUAUUUAUAGUUUUGGAAUGCUAUUGUUAGAAAUUGUGGGGAGAAGGAAGAAUGUGAAUGCGUUUGCAGAGCAGUCAAGUCAAAUAUACUUUCCAUCAUGGAUUUAUGAUCGAUAUGAUCAAGGAGAGGACAUAGAAAUAGGACAGGCCACUAAGGAUGAAAAAAAGUAUGUGAGGAAAAUGGUGAUAGUUGCACUAUGGUGUAUACAAAUGAAGCCUGUAGAUCGUCCUUCAAUGAGCAAAGCAUUGGAGAUGCUUGAAGGAGAGGUUGAACUCUUGAAAAUGCCUCCUAAGCCAACUCUAUGGUCUAUUGAGAAUCACGAGCAAUCCAUGGUAGUGGUACCAAUUUCAUCAUCUAAUUCCAUGGGUACAAUCACCUUAAAUGGAAGGUACUGCUACACCAUCUAGUUACAUAUUAUGUAAUCCAAUAAUAAUGUGUGAUAGUCUUAGGUAUAAGGUUUUUAUAAGAUUGGUCUAUGUAAUAAGACAAAGUUUCAUCCUUGAACCAUAGCUUGGCUCCUUAUGAGUGAGUAUGUGUAUAGGUAAUAAAAUAUCAUUUCGAAUGUUUGAGUUGUCUUCUUUGAAGCUCUUAAAAUUAUCAAAUAGAUUUCCCUAUUUUGUUAUGCAUUUGUUAUCUACAAUAAUCUAGGCUUUCAAAGAUCAAUAAUGUCAAUUACAACAUUUCUUUUAUAACUAAUUCCAAAUAGUUUCUAUUAGAAAAGUAUCUUUGGGCCUCUACAAAGGUUACAAUAACAUUCUUCGACAUUGAAUUGCGUCAUUCCAUGUACGGUUAUUUAGAUUAAUGGAUGCUUUGGUUUCUCUAUUCUUAGAUUUCUACUCCUUGUCGAAGACUCUGAUCUUACUCUUCUCACUUUAAAACAUGCUUGCAAAUUAAAAGUUGUAUUUUGAUAAAGAGAAAAUUAACAAAGAACAAUUUGAGAGUUCAAACCUUCCUUUGGUAUAUGUCUACUAUCAUAAUUCAUUAUGAGUGUAAAAUUGUAGGAGUAGAUUUAAAAUUUUAAAAUGGUCUCCUACAAGUAUUGUACUCUUUCAAUAAUUUCUACGGUCCAUUAUACAUAUGGUCAAUUGUGAUACUUUAUUGAUUGAAUAUGAAUUUUCAAAUACGAACUGACCAAGUCAAUUUUCUUAGCACUAAAAGGAAUUAGGUCCUUACAUUUAGAGGACUAUUUCUUUAUCUUUAGAAAUGUGCAAUGAGCUAGAUGUGAUAGGGCCAUAAUACCAAAUGAACUAUGAUGAUAAUACCAUAUAUUAUAUUCCAAACAUACAAAUGAUCAAUGCCUAUUUUAAUUGAUUUAUAAAUUUAUUUUGCUUGCUAGCAUAAGCUUCUUUAACAUGUAUAACUAAUAUUACUUGUUAAUUCAUUGGGUUUAAUCAUGCAACUUGAGGCUCUCAAAAUAGGUAUAAGAUUAACCUAUUUUUUUAUAUUUUAAAGUAUGUUUAAAAAUAAUUUUUAUAUUUAGUGUAUUGUUUUUUUUUUUUUAUCAUUUUCCAUAUUUGUAUAAUUAUUUUUUAAAAUAGACCUUUAAAAAAAUUGAAAACAAUUAAAGGAUUCUUUCAAACAAUUAAAGAAUAUGUUUUGAAAACACCAUUUUUACGAAUAGAAAAGUAUUUUUUAUUUUUCAACUAUCAAAUGUAUUCUACUAUUUUCUUUUUCUUUUUUUCAAAAAAAAUUGUUUUUGAAAACGGUUACCCAACGUGCUUAGACUUGCCAUUUCCACCCCUAUUUCCCUUUUAGCUUUCACAAAAUCACAUGCUAUAUCAAGCAACAAUAUUUGUAGGUAGUUUACCCAUGUUUAGGAACACAAGUAAAGUGAAAAGAUAAAAAAAAAUGUCAUGGCACGGUUACAGGGAUGAGUAGUAGUUAGUACUAGUAUUUGAGUAGAGCGUGGAAAAAAUAUGGUCACUUGGCUCUCUUUUGUGCCAAUUGCAUCUCCAUAUUUGUUUUCACAACAAGCUAACUAUAUACAACAUACCUUUCAUAAAAGUACUACUUCGAAGGGUAUUGGGAAGAAAUAGUGGGAACGCUCGACAACAUCACCAGCAAGUACUUGGAGAUAGAGAAAGGGGUUAACACAUUGAAGAGGAGACAUGCCGAGAAGGUGAGCGAGAGCUAAGCUGAGCAGAGGGAGCCGUAUCUGAAGAAGGCUGGCAAUGGAAGGUUUUGGCACAAAGAUAUAAUUUAGGAUUUUAGUCCAAUUUAAUGGUGCUAAAGUUGGAUAUCAUAUCCCCUCCAAAUUGAUUUGGUUUUAUCAUUAUUUGACAUAUUUCUUAUGUUCAAAUAAUUGAUUAAAAGAUAUGACAAACGCAAAAAGCAACUUUGUUCUUUUUCGUAUUUCCCACCAAAAGAAACUUUUUUUUUUUUUUUUUGUUCGUGAAAGUCAUUAUCAUUCUUUUCUUUGAAUAAUUGAUGAAAAAAAGGCACUAGUACCAAAACACAAUUUAUGAUACCUUUUUGGGCUCAUCUAAACCUUUUUUUAAAAAAAAAAGAGGAAAGCGAGGCGGUAGAAAAAAUUUGAAAUCUCAUUAGUGCAUAUUAUGACUAAGUUCAUAUGAUUAGGAUAUAAAGAAGAUGACUAACAAUUUGAAGAACAAAUUAUAACUAGAAGGUUUUGGCACGACAUACAAAGGAAAUUUCGAGGUAGUAGCAUUGUGAGCUAUAAAAGUGUUGGUCACUUCUAUAGUUAAUGAGCUAGAUUUCAUCAAUAUGAAAUCACUACUAUUAGAUGGUUUCAUCUUAUUGUAGUUCGCCUAAUUGGAUUUGCGUGAAGGGAUCAAAAUGCCCUCUCACAUAUGAUUUGGUGUCUAUUGGAUCUCUUAAUAAGUACAUUUUUCUUGGAAGAGAAAAUUCUAUUUCUUUGGGCUUGCAAAUGUUGUAUAAGAUUGCAUUAGGAGUGGCCAGAGGAAUCGAAUAUUUGCAUCAUGGUUAUGACGAGCAAAUUAUAUGGUUUAAUAUCAAGGCCUACAAUAUUCUUCCUCAUGAAGACUUUACACCAAAAGUUUUAAACUUUUACCAAAUGAAAUUAAGUUUGAUAGACAAAAUUAUUGUGUCCCACUGUAUAACAAGGAAUACUGGUAUAUAUCAAUCCAUUAGUAUCUUACAAAAACACUGGCGGCAUCUUUUAUAAGUUUAAUGUUUAUAGUUUUUGGAAUGUUGUUGAUGGAAUUAUAAGAGAGAAAGAAGAAUGUGAUUGCAUUUGUACCAUCCUCAAGUCAAAUAUACUUUUCAUUAAUUGUGGAUUUAUUACAGAUAUGAUAGAGGAGAAAACAUGGACAUGGGAGAUGUUAUGGAGGACAAAUUAGGGAGGAAAAGAAAGUAGAUUGGAGUUUUGAAUAUCAACUUCACUUAAUGAGGCCCCAAACUGUUCUCAACAGAACAUAGCUAAUACAACAUUUAGCUUAACUGAGUUCGAACAAUUCCCACUGUAACUUCAUCGAUAAUUUCUGUACGAAUCGGUCCAAACCUGGAAAAAAUGAUGUCUGAAGAUCUGACGGCGGUUCCUAAGAAACUUCUCCAGACUAAGUAGGACAUGCAGUAGAGUACUCAGGAAUUAUUAUGGUACACUGCACACCGAAUCUAUGGCAUAAUUCAGGAAAGGGGAACCUAAAAGUAAGAAAGCUAGAAGCAAUGGAACAAUUUUGUUGUUGUUUUGAGUAAGAGUUACUUAUCGGUGUUGGAUUAUUUUGAGCUUGAAUGAACUCCUCAAUCGCAUGGUACAUGGAUAAGUUCCUCUUCUCCAUUUGUAGAUCAAGAAUAUCGCAACCCAUGGAAUCCUGAACAAAGUCUUCACUGCUGCAACAAUAGCCACUGUAAAGGACAAUUAUAGAAAAAUCAGCAGGAGAACUUCAAUUGCUCCAUCUGUGGUACCAUUUUGCUGAGUUCUACAGUUUUCUCUUGUUUUUUGUUUUCCUUUUUAUUUAUUAACCGACCAGAUGAUCUUGAAAGGCUUGCCUUUUACAUUUUCCACCUUAAGUUGUUUCCUUUUCUUCAUCACCACUGCAAUGAGGAAAUUCAAUGUCUUACCAAUGAAGAAGAGUCCCAAUACCAGAAUGCCUGCUCAAAAUGACAAAAGAAAUAAAACAUAUAAAUGGUUUUUGAAAAAAAUAUAACAAUUUUAAAAAAUAAUUACUAAAAUAUGACAUUUUUAAAACUAUUUCCAAAUCUACUGCACUUUUUAAGAAAUCAAUUGAAAAUUGUUUUUUAAAAAGAUAAUUUUAAUUGAAUUUUAAAGUUAUUGUUUAAGAAAAACAACUUUUAUAUUUAAACUUAUUACCUUCUUAUAUUUCUUAUGUUGACCAAUAAGCUAGUAUUAUUCUUUGUUGACCAAAAAUUUUGGUAACUCUAUUGAAACACUAUUUAUAAUACUUAGUUUUUAAUAAAGCUCAUCGAUCUGUAACAUUUUUGAAAAAGGAGAAAAGGUGUGAAACACGUUCUAAGUGAUAAAGAUAUGAAAUCUAUCAUGUAAAGUUGAAUAACCCAUUAAUUAAUUAAAUUUAAGAUUGUUUGUCUCUUUAAAGUUUUUUAUUUUUCCAUAGAGUAAGAGGCGCUGAUUUCAACAAGUUAGAUGAAGGCACAUCGACUUAUUGAGUUAGUAAUUGUUAGUGGUAAUUAAAGAUAAGCUUAAUUGGUAGAAAGUCGUUGGCUUACACAGAUCAAGCAUUAUAGGGUGGUUAAUCGUUCGGUCUAACAUGCAUUCAGGAGUUCUACGAAGUUGAACAUGCUUUGAUCAAUAUUAUGGAGUCAUUCUAAAGGUAAAUUAAAGAAUAAAAAAUGGUUUAGAAAAUAAAAUAGCAUGUCACUCCUUAUCAAACCAUCAAACAACAUAGAUUAGUGUUUCUAAAUUAUUGUUCACAUAGUUUUGUUGCUUAUGUAAAGUAGAAGAGAUACCUACAUUGUAUAGUUAGGGUUAAUUUCAUUUCUAUUUUAUGAUAUUUGAACUAAAUGUACUUAAUUAGUUGCCAUUAAGUUUAAUACUUUUCCCUUCUCAUUUUUUAAUUUUGUUCAUCUUCCUUAGAUUCAAAAUAAGAGAUGUAUUUGACAAAAUUUUAAACUAAUUAUAAUGACUAAUUAGUGUAUUUAACCCAAAAAUGUGAGAGAAAUUAAACCUUUAUAGUUAUACACAACAUGGGAGAUGUUGAGGACAAAUCAACGAGGAAAAGAAAAAAGAUUGGAGUUUUGAAUCUUAACUUCCCUUAAUGAGGCCCCAAACCAUUCUCAACAGAACAUAGCUAAUACAACAUUUAGCUUAACUGAGUUCCAACUAUUCCAACUGUAACUUCUUCAAUAAUUUCUGCACAAAUCUGUCUGAACAUGGAAAAAUGAUGUCUGAAGAUCUGAUGGUGGUUCUUAAGCAACUUCUCAAGAGUAAGUACGACAUGCAAUAGAGUACUCAGGAAUUAUGGUACCAUGUACACCGAAUCUAUAUUAAGGUNNNNNNNNNNNNNNNNNNNNNNNNNNNNNNNNNNNNNNNNNNNNNNNNNNNNNNNNNNNNNNNNNNNNNNNNNNNNNNNNNNNNNNNNNNNNNNNNNNNNGAAUGUAGCCAAUGACUGAUAUUCACUGCUGGUCCAAAUAAAGACCCAUUUGGGCUCUCCCAUUAAUUGGGUCCAGAUAACUUGCUAGAAUAUGCCCAUUUAAUAUUAGUUGAGGCAAGCCCAGAUAGGUUUGUAUUGAUGGCUAGAAUUGCUUCCUUGGCCCAAUUGGCUAUGAUUCUAGGCCCAAUAAGGAAAUGGACUCCUUUCACGAAAGGGGGAACCUAUGUGCCUUCGCUUGCUGUUUAAGAAAGAAUUAAGCCAAAAAUAUCUAAUUUCAGGAUGAGAAUUAUACUGACACGUGGAUUAUCUCCCGCUUCUUGAAAAUGUCGCGUUUAGGAAAAGGAUGGUUUGCUCUUCACCGGUGGAAUACUUUAAAAUGUAUUGAUUUAUUAGGAACUAAAUUCUAAUAAUUAAAGCAUUAUUAUUAUUAUUAUUAUUAUUUUAAUUUUUUAAUUUGCACGGUUUCCCACCUACUUUAUAUUUAUAAUUAGAUUUGAAAAAAACUUUAAAGAAGGAAGUUACGAAGUAGGUGCUUCUAGGGAAUUUUAAAAUAAAAAAAAUUAAAUUAAAAAAAAAACUAUAAAUGAAAAUUUACUUGAAUUUUUUUAGAAAAAAUUACUUAUAUAUUAUUUAAAUUGGCAGAAUUAUGGUCUGUGAGAUCGAUAUCCUGCCAAGCCAUGUGAGUGACUAAUUUGAUCUGAACUAACCCAAGAACGGAGCAUCUCUCUCUCUGUGUCUGAAAGUUGAUGAUGUUGAAGGAGGCAAAACUUGUGGGAGUAGGCCUUAUUACUCUAGUUCUCUAUGCCUGCUUCCUUUUAGUUUGUGUUGCUAAGGAUCACAAGUACCAGAUAUGCAUCCCCUCUUCCUGCGGGGAUAUUUGGAACAUUUCCUACCCUUUUGGAUUACAAGGCGAUGCCCCCAGUUGCGGUUAACCUGAGUAUGAAUUUAUUUGUGAAAACAAUCGUACGGUGGGAAAUACUAUGUUGCAGAUAUCAAUUACCAGAAUUAUAGCAUUCGGGUAGUGGAUCUCCAGUCCUCUUCAUUCCAUUGGUGCAUAUUACAGGAUGAAUGGAUUUCGAUCUUAUUUGCCUUCUGCAUGGAAACUUUUUAUCAUGGUUCGGGGUCUGGACCGAUAUUCUAUACAAUACUUUCGAUGAACUGUGAGCAGUCAAUCAGCGACCACAACUACAUUCCCAUUAUUCCAUGCAACACGACAGGCUAUUCCUCUUCCUCAUCACCAACAUACUCUUAUGCAAUAGUCGGAGAAUACGUGUCCGUGGUAGAUAUGCCGUAUUCCUGCACCAUCAGCACAUACAUGGUUAUUCAACUGUUGAAGGCACUUCCAGAGUCCAUCAAUCUUUCCAUGUCAGAUUUGCAAGAUUAUCUGCUUCUGGGGCUUCAGCUUUCAUUUUUGCCUCACUUCUGCAGCAGCCAAUGCAAAAUGAAAGGGUAGGAUACAUGAUGACCUGCUUUUAUCUUCCUUGAAUGAGUCUUCAAUAUUUCUAUCCCUAAUUUCACUGGUUUGGUUUAAUCUUGCAGCGCUUUGGAAGUUUAUAACAAUUAAUCUAUUGCUGCCCUUUAAGAGUAAGGCUUCAAACUACAAUUUUUUUUUAAAAAAAGUUAAAUCUUUAUUUUAUUAUUUCCUAACUUUUACAAAUUGGACUUCCGAUCCAUUGUUAACAGAAGGGUUACUUUCUCCCUACACAUUAACAUUACGAGGUAAGGUUGCUACUUGCAAUCAUCAAUUUCUCAAAAGAACAAGAUAAAUGAUUUAUUUAGAGUUCUUUCAUCUUAAUUAAUCCCUCCCAUUCUUGCUUCUCAUAAAAAUAUUAUUUGGGCUGUCAAGGGCAUUCUUCCUUGUGACUAACAUGGCUUGGAUGGUUUCAUAUAGGACUUCAAAAAGAAUAUUAUAAUUGUCCGGAAUGCUACUAUUGCUGCAAAUGCUUGAAGAUUGGUAAGUCUUUCUUCACUCAAGUGUCUCCUACUUUACUGUUAUUUGUGUCCCUCACUUAUACUGGCCCACUUUUUAAUUUGCUGCAUUUCUUCCUUAUUUUCUAUGAAGUAAUAUUAAAAAGAGUUGAUAUGAAAAUUCUUGGAAUUCUUGCAUUCAAAGGAUGUUCAGUGAUCUCUAAAUUGCAUUUGUUUUGUUUAACCGUACAAAUUAAAUUGAGUGUGAAUUCAAUUUUAAAAUUUGUAAAUUCAAUUAAUUCUGCUUCCAAAUUGUUUUUAUAUAUUGACUAGGGUGAACUUAAUUUAAGUGUAAUUAAACUCCACUAACAUCUAAAGAAGUCAAAAUAAUUGAAUUGAAAUUGGGAUCUUCUUAUCCAAGGCCUCAGUCCUAUGCAUUCAACAAUAUAUUAUUUUUUUCUGCCACUCAACCCAUUAGUGAUUCCAUCAAAUUGCUCCCCAAGCAACAAUACGCUGUAAAAGCUUGGUGAAAAAUCCGUUUUAGGUGCAUUAAGUGAUUGUUAAAGUAGCUACUUCACUUGCCCCUCUAACAACACUACCACAUGUUUUACUUGGUACGAAGGUAGAAUGGUUUUUCCUGCCAUUUGUAUUUGAUGGAUUUAACUUUAUUUGUGAUAUCUUGUUUCUUUUUUGAAAAUAUAUAUUGCUUUGACAAUUGAUUUGUGUUUAGUUAUAAGAAGAACUCUACUCGGGAUAUUGUGCCUAUUUGCCUAUUUGGUUUACAAGUUCCAUAGGAGACAUCUAUCAUUAGAUGAUAGUAUUGAAGAUUUCCUACGAAGUCACAAAAAUCUCCAACCUAUCAAAUACUCAUAUUCAGAUAUAAAGAAGAUGACUCAUAACUUUGUGAAUAAAUUAGACCAAGGAGGCUUUGGCUCUAUAUAUGAAGGAAAACUUCGAAGUGGUCACAUUGUAGCUAUAAAGGCUUUUGAUUAUGUCAAAGCUAAUGGACAAGAUUUCAUCAAUGAAGUUGCUACAAUAGGAAGGAUUCAUCAUGUUAAUGUAGUGAGACUCAUUGGAUUUUGCGUACAAGGAUCAAAAUGGGCACUUAUAUAUGAUUACAUGUCCAAUGGCUCUCUUGAUAAGUUUAUUUUUCUUAAAGGGGAAAACAACACCUUUUUUAACUUGGAAAGGUUGCACUUGGAGUGGGGCAUGGGAUUAAAUACUUACAUCAAGACUGUGACAUGCAAAUUCUACAUUUUGAUAUCAAGCCACACAAUAUUCUUUUUGAUGAAGACUUUACACUAAAAGUUUCAAAUUUUGGCCUUGUCAAAUUAUAUUCGACAAAUGAAAGUAUAGUAUCUCUCACUGUUAUACGAGGAACAUUGGGAUAUAUUGCUCUAGAAUUGUUCUAUAAAAACAUUGGAGGUGUCUCAUACAAAGCUGAUAUUUAUAAUUUUAGAAUGUUAUUUUUGGAAAUGGUAGGGAGAAGAAAGAAUGUGAAUGAAAAUGCAGAGCACUCAAGUCAAAUAUAUUUUCCAUCAUGGAUUUGCGACCGAUAUGAUCAAGGAGAGAAUAUAGACUUGGAAGAUGCUUCUGAAGAUGAAAAAAAGUUUGUAAAGAAAAUGGUUAUAGUUGCACUAUGGUGUAUACAGAUGAAGUCGAUAGACUGCCCUUCAAUGAGCAAAGCCUUGGAGAUGUUGGAAGGAAAGGUUGAGUUGUUAGAAAUGCCUCCUAAGCCUACUCUAUACCCUGAAGAAAUGUCAAUUGAGUAUCAUAUCAACAAUCCAAUAGAAGCAUCAUAUUUCCUUAUACAAUUCCAUGGAUAUGUAGCAUUUUACCUACUUGCAUUCUCUCCUAUGAUAUCAUAUGUUUGUAAUUUGGCAUAGAUUUAUGCAUGGGCUGUAACUCCUCUUGCAAGGUCCAAUAUAUAAUGUAAUAUUGUCUUGAGGCACUAACAUGCAAUAUUUUUCCCAAGACCCCAUUGGAUCUCUCAUUUUAUUUUUAUGUCUCCAUGUGGUACACUACCUAGGUCAUCAUUGGAGAACCUAUAAAAAGCUAUUUUGCAAUUGUUCAUGGAUUGCUCCUUUGGGAGAGCCUGAGGGAAGAAAACCUUGUUGCAGCUGGAGCUUGGGUUGCCACAUUCAUUUGCCUACUUUUUUGGGACUUUGUAAUUGUUUUUUAAUGUCCUAAACUCCUUUUCUUUGAUUGUGUCUGAACAAACUUGUUUAUAAGCUUUGGUUUAAGCGAUAUUGAAUUGGAACCUUAGGUUUUAAUACUCAUUUUCUUAUGCUCUUAAUUGUGAUUCAAUCUUCAUGCCUUUUGAGUAGUGGAUUAGGCUAAGGAAAGGGGGGCCCUUUGGACCUCUUCUUUACCCAAAAAAUGAUCCCCUCAUUUCGGGUAAUUAAUGAUUUAAUCAUUUUGUAAGUUGGACCUUUUCAUUUUUAAUUAAAACUAUUUUGACUUGAGAGAACCAUUAUUAAGCCCUCAAUUCUACAAUUUGGCAAGCAAAUGGGGAGUGAGAGUUUUAAGUAUUUCACAAGGAGGUCCAAUUAAUAAGUACGUAGCUCUAGGUUUAAUUAAAUUGUAUUUGUGCUGAAAAUUCUCAAGCUUAGAGCACUUGUAGGUAGUCUUAGAUUAGUUAGCUUAAUUGAUAGUCUUUUCAUGGAAAUAAGACAACUUAAAGGAUCCCCUUAUAUAAAAAGCAUGAAAUGGUUAAACCUUAUGUGGUCAAAUUAAUUUUACACAAUUUUUUUUAUAUAAUGAUUAAAUAACUUAAAAUUAUAUAAUAAAUUUUAAAUUAAUUUUAAUUAUAUUUGAUUUUCUUUAUAUUUUUUUUUAUAAUGAAAUCAAAUAUAAGAAAAUUGUUUUCCUUAAACAUUAUUUGAUCAUAGGAAGAUCAGGAUUUAAGCUUUGAAUAUAAUUUUUGAUAAAUUUAACUUAAUUCCCCACUAUCCUUUUCCUACAAAGCUUUACAUUUUAAAAAGGCCUCAAUAUGACCCAUCAUCAAAGAUAGUACUUCAUUUUUCAAUUUGGUGGCAUAUGUGGUCAGUCAAGAAAGACAAAACCAAAAAAAUUUCCUUCUCCCUUUCUGGAAAUACAUUACCUACUCUUCCAUAAAGAUGAAGCUUAGUUGAGAAGGUCAUGACCUCUUCCUACAUCUUGCCCAUUCCACAUUGCUCGUUGCAAAAGAAUUUAAAGUCUAUCAAAUGCAAAGAAAAACCUUCAAAAGAAUUGACUAACUGGAUAUGGAGGUAGCAACUUGCAGUAGGGUAAAGAAGAAAAAGAAAGAAUGAUAAUUUAUAGUUUUCAUUAUUACCUUAAUAAUUUUCAAUAAAAAAAUUUCUAAAAGAACUAAGAAAACGUUCCAAAGUUUUUUUCAUUAUUAUAUAAAUAAUUUUUAUAUUAUAAAAAUAAAAUUUAUCAAAAAAUUAUCUAAGUGGUUUAACUAUUAGUCAUUGGUAUCAAUUAAAAUUUUCUAAAUUUAUUUUAAUUUAGUCUAAUUCUUUAGAAUUUAUAUUUUAAUUUUGUGUCACUUUUCCAUUGAAGAAGUGUAUGUUUUGUUUGGUAUAUCUCUAAGUUUUUUUUUUUGUUUAAAUUACAAUUAUAUUUAUGAAAAAUAUAAAUAAGGACACGAAAGUUUUAAAAAUAAACAAGAAGAAAAAUAGAUAAAUAAACUUAUAAUGAAAUAAGUUUAAGUAAAGAUUUUAUAGAUGAUAAAGAAGAAUUAAUUUAUCAAAUAAAAUUAGAAAUACUGAAAUAGUGGGACAAAAAAUUUAAAAACAAAAAUAGUUAUAAUGGUUGAUAUGAUUAUAGUAUAAUUAAUUACUAUAAACAUUUAUAAAAAAUAUAAAAGCACAAAACAAGGAAAAUAAAUAUCUUAUUGGGCUUUCAUGGUCAAAUUAUGUCCUGUAUACUAAUAGAAAGUUGGAAUCAAACCCCGUAUCAAGCCCAACCCAGCCUGAGUAGCACAUGAUCCAAGCUCCGCCUAUGGACCUUCCAUUGGGCUUGGCCCAAUCAAAUAGAGUAGAUUGUUCCAUUGAUUUGAUGUUCUGCCCUAAAUGCAGUUGAUCUUAAACACAUGGAGGAACCCUCAAACCCCUCGGCUAAGACAAGCUUGUUUGCAUCAACGUCCUAAGCCACUGGACUUUUUAUUGUUUAGGUUAAACAAUAUAUACCAUAUAUUGAGAGAGUUUGAGUCCAUUAUUAUUAUUAUUAUUAUUACAUAAUCUAUUGAGUCCUUUUUUUUUUCCUUUUUUCUCAUUGGUUAAUUUCAUGGUCUACCGUACAUAUGAUCCAUUGGUAAUUUGUAUUGGUUAAAUAUCUCAUUUUAAAUAGCCACUAAAUAAAUUUUCUUAGCAUUAAAAAGAGGUUGAUCCUUUGCCUUUUGAGGAUAUUCCAUUAGCAUUAGAACUGUGAUAGAGGUAAGGAGAUGAUCAACCAUCCCCAAAUUUCAAUAUUAAUGAACUUUGUCUUUGAUAAUGCAUCCAUAUGAGACCUUUCUAAAGGUAAAGCCACUUGCUUUGUACGGAAAUGAUGGUAGAGAAUUAAGCUUAAUUUUUUUAAAUUGUAGUCAUAAAUUAAAGGCCAAAUUUUUGUUUGAAAACUCUUGCUUCUUAGUGCAAAGCAAAAGAUUAUAUACUUUAUCAAGUUAUUGGGUAAUAUAAUCUAGCUCAAGGAGCAACUUUAUUUAGUCAUUACAUAACUUAUUCGUCUUACUUCUCAAUCCAAUAAAAAAGUGAUAAAGGCAAAAAGGAAAAAAAAAAAAAAAGCAAAAGAAACUCCAUAUAGACAUAGUGGAUGAGACUUAUUUUCAAGUUUCCUAGAUCUAUUCUAUUGCUAUUUCGUGCAAUACUAUCUAUCUUGAAUGUGAUGGACAUUAGUUAUUCUUGAUUGAAAGGUGAUCUCUAGAGUUGUGUGUAGCUAAACUAUAAUUUGGAUUGUGAGAAUAUUCUUGGACAUAUUCAUUAAAAUAUCAUACAUGAUAAAUACAUUACAUGGGAACAAGAACUUCUAGAAUCUAACAUCAAUUGAGCCACUGGUAUAAUCAUUGUGUACAAUCAUUUGUUCAAUUAACAAAAAUAUAAAUAGAAAUGCUACGAUGAUGAACAACUACAAUAUGAAUUUUUAUAAAAAUACACAUUCAUAAUAAUUUGAAGCAAUUAUUUUAUUCUAUUUCUGAAAUGAUUGCUAACUCUUGUUGAAAAACACUUCUUGGUUUGCUCAAGUUUGUCUUUGUUGGAGUUGUUGAAGCAAAAGGAUUAGGAGGCAUGGUUAACUUGCCUCUUCCUUCCAACAUUUGAACCACAAUUUUCAUGGAAGGACGAUCCAUUGGAAACCAUUGAAUACAUGAGAGUCCCACAAUUGCUAAUUUCUUUGCAAUCUCAACAUCUCCUUUUUCUUCAAUCCGAAUAUACAAUUCUUCCCCUCUAUCCAAAUGAUUAUAAAUCCAUUCUGGGAAGUAUACUUGGCUAGUACUCUCCACACUAACAUCAAUGUUCUUCCUCCCUCCAACCAUUUCAAGUAACAACAUUCCAAAACUAUAAACAUCUGACUUAUAAGACACAUUCCCAAAAUUCCUAGACAACACUUUUGGAGCAAUGUAGCCUAUUGUUCCCCUUGCAACGGUCAUAGAGACCGCACUUUGUUCCUUGGAGCACAAUUUGGCUAAACCAAAGUCAGAAAUCUUUGGAUUAAAGUUGUGAUCAAGUAAAAUAUUAUGAGGUUUGAUAUCAAAAUGGAGGAUUCUUUGAUCACAACCUUGAUGAAGAUACUCAAUUCCUUUCGCUAUACCUAUAGCAAUUUCUUGAAGUUUCUUCCAACUGAGUGAAUAGUUCUUAACAUCUCUUGAAAAUAUGAACUUCUCUAAUGACUCAUUUGGUAAGUACUCAUAAAUUAGAGCUCGUUUAAAUCCAUCAGCACAAAAUCCGACUAAGCGAACUAUAUUAACAUGGUGGAUUGUACCCAUCGUUGCCACUUCAUUAAUGAACUCUUCUCCAUUUCCUUGAGAAUUAUUAAGGAUUUUUACUGCAACAAAAACUUCAUGUGAAAGCUUUCCCUUGUACACGGUUCCAUAACCUCCUUGGCCUAAUUUAUCUUUGAAUUGAUUUGUAAUCCUUUUAAUAUCAGCAUAGGAGUAUCUUGAGGGCUUGAGAGCUUCAUAGUCUUCCAGAAACCUUUUAACCUUUAUUCCAUUCUCUCUUUCUAAUUUAUCUGAGCUAUAGAGACGAUAAAACAUAGCAAUUACUAACACAAGUAGAAAGAAACCAAAGAUUGUGCCUGCAAACAUAAAAAGAAGAAAACUUAAACUUUUUUUAUUUAAAUAAAUAGAUAGAAUAACCAAGUUAAGAAUCCUUAUUUCUAUAAUAAAAAUGCAUAAAUAAAAUAUUACCUGUUACCAUUGCUUGCUUUGAUACACCUGUAAAAUAUUUAAAAAAUAAUAAUAAUUAUCUUGUUGUGCUCUUGGAAUUAACAAAAUCAUGCUAAAUUGCAUGCAUAUGAUAUGAUUUUAAUUUAAUUUUAUUCUAGGCUUCAACCCUAUCUUUUGGGUCUCUUUCUUAUACUCUACAUGUUGAGUACCAAUUCUACUAGUAACUCCAUUCUAACUUGUAGUGGAGAUUAAAACUUACCCUUCUAAUAUCUAUUAUGUAUCUUAGUUAAACUAUUCUGUUUCAUAAUAACUUACUGUCAUAAUGAAGCCCUCAACACUAAUUCACCCUAUUUUAUAAAAAAAACUAAAAUAAAAAUAAAACUCUAUCUCAAACAAAUCUCUACUCUUAUCCUAUGACAUUUUAUAUAGUGAGAUUCCAAUUGGUGAAUUCUAUGACACUUGGCAAUUUGAUUGACCAUUAACAUAUAACUUCUCAUGUUAGAUAAGAGGGCAAAGGUAUCCAUGCAUGUGGAUACCCAUUAAAAUUAGGAAAAUGAUAUUUAUGAAAAUUUUUACACAAUUGUAAUUAUUGGGAGUUGCAACAAAGAUGGAUUACCAAGGAGGUUAGUAUUCUCUACUUGGAUAUGAAACAAUAAAUGAGAAAAUAAUCUAUUUUAAACAAUCUUUAGUAAUUUUCUUUUAGUUCCUUAAACAUCUCCAAAAUCCAAAAUGAAUAGUUGAAUAUCAAUUAUAUUACUUUGCAUUUUUACAUUCACAUUGUUGGAACAGUAUGGAGAAACAAAAAAAAAAAAGUACUUGUCAUAAGUAGUUAGAAAAGAAUCCAUUACAAAAGAACUUUUAACAUUGUUGUUAUAUUUCUUUAAUUUUUCAAAAAAUUAACUCCAAAAUAAACAAUAAUUUUAAAAUGUAUAAAAUUAUUUUCACUAAUUAAUUAUUAUUUCAAAUUAUGACCUAAUAAGACAAAAAUAUUUUGGUGAAAGAUGCAAAAUGAUUAGCACUUUAAAAAAAUCCUCAUGUAAAUAGUAAGUAAACAUAUAGUACUUUGAUUGGUUGUAAUCAAAUUGAUCUUUUUUUUUCUUUUUUUAUUUUUUAUUUUUAUUUUUAUUUUUUAUCUUUCAGACUUUCAGAAUCCCAAUAAAAAGUAAAUUCCAUCCAAGAUUUUAGUUCUACUUUCCAUAGCUUAGAAACUCGAUCAGUAGAAUUUAUCAGCUCAUAUCCUUUGCAAUGGCUUUUUAAUUCCAAAAUGGAGUAUUUGUUUAUUGGAUCAUUGUAGAGGAUAUGAGGCGGGAAUGAAAGAUGAAAAGAAGAUGAAUAGGGAAUUGAGAUACAUAAAGUACCUUUAAUACAUUCAGUUUCUGGUUCCCUGCUAUUACUCUUCUUCAGUCUGCAUAUGUGUCCUGCUCGUAGGCAGCUUCCACAUAUUGAUUUCGGCCACUUCAAAGAAAACGCACUUCCAUUGAAUGUAUAAUCCGUAAAGACAUGAUAUCCAACUGAAGCGUUGUAAAGCCUGCGGCAAGACGAUAGGUCCAUAUUUUGGAGAGGAUAGAAGGAGUCAACGGCAUAAACUGGGUUACCAGGGAUAGAAAGGCAAGGGAUGAAGUGAGCAGCAAAUGAUUCUGCCGUUUAAGUGAGGAACAAUUGAAGAAGGUGACGUCCCCCUCAAAUUUGAACUGGAAGGGGGACGAAGCUAAACUAAGGUUUCGAAGCUGUCUCUCAAGGCAAUUAUCCGGGUUCUGGACAAUGAUUUCCCUGGAUUUGUAGAUUAUAUUCUUCACCAAGAGCUUUACCGAAUCUGGCAGCUCCAGCAUGAUCUGAUUAUUCUCAGUGCAAGAUAAAACAAAUCCCGGGUAUCCACAGUGGUGUGGCUGGCUUUUUAGACGGAAAGGGAACUGGAUGAGUGGACCCUGGACGCCACAACGAUUUGAUGUCGGGCACUCACCUCGGCCCCCUCUCAUCUCCACAAACAAGGUCAGAAACGAGAACAAAAAUAAAGAGAGAGAUCGAUCCAUUUUUAUGGAAGGAAGUUGUGACUUUUGCCAAGAACAGAAAUCUCAGGGAUAGGAAAGAAAGUGGAAAGGGGGAUACAAAUAUUGAGAGGAGAUUAGCCUGAAAAUUUAUAGAGAAGAAUUCUAGGAAGGAGAAUUACUGUGGUGUUACAUUUUCAGUCAAUUAUCUUCUCUCUUUCAAAUUUAAGUAUUCCAUUUAAUUUGUACAUAUAAUUUUCUAUAUGAUAUGUAAUUGAUUUUUACUUCUCAAUGGAUAGAGGAUCUAGGAAGAUAAUAACUUUGCCAUCACCUAGACUUUUUUAUUCAUGCAUUUAGAAUCAAGAUUUGAACUUUUCAAGUGAUAGAAGAUUUGGAAACUCCAUUCCUACUUGCCAUCUUCACUUGUAUCCACACAUUUAGAGUCAAGAUUUUGAAUUUUCAAAUAACAAACCUGUAAUAACUAAAGAUUGUUGGAUGACAUUGAUUAAAACUUCUAAUUAAUUUUGGUUAUACAUCACGAUAUUUAAUUUUCAUUAUGUCGCCAUAUUUAGAGGUCUCCCGUUGUUCUCAGCCAAAAGUCUUUAAUGACUGAAGUUGUCAGACAUGACUUGCAAAGGAAUUCAGUGAAUCUGAUCAUGAACCAAAGGUUGGUAUGCUUUACCCUUAUUUCAAAUUGCACCAAAAUGGGGACCAAAAGGUGGUUUAGCCGGUUGGCUGAAUAAUUGCAACUCAUUUCUCUUAAAUUCAACAUAAAUUAAAAUGGAAGAAUUCCAAAUUAGUAUCUUUCUCAAAUGUCAUAAUGGUCGAGACCAACAAAAAAAUAUAAAAACGUUUUUACCUAAGCAUAGUACCUAUUCUAAAAUUUAAUAAUAUUUCAUUUAUUAUAAUUUCAAUCUAAACGUACUGUCUUGCUUAAUUUCUUUUUGUAUGUUUUCAAAAAAAUCAAAUUUUGAUAUGAUGUAGGAAUUUGAUGAGAAAUACAACUUAAAAUACAAAUAAUAAAAAACUACAAAAGAUUAUUCUAAUAAUUAUGAUUAAUAUCAAAUGCGAAGUCAUUUCUAUAAAGAAAAUUUUAUCUAACUUGGUAUAUAUUGUGUAUCUAAAACUUAUAGAAGGUUCAAAUUUUUAGAGAAGUGGUAACUUAACAUGAUACAAUGCAUAAUUCAUUAUUCAUAUAUUUAUAUAAAGUUAAUUUGGUAUACAUUAUGGUCCGUUUAAGCUUCGAGGAAAGUUGCUAAUUCAGCUAUAAGAUCCUUUUUAUUUUUUACUUUUUGAAAUUAACUUCAAAUAUUACUAUAUCAAAUAUAGUGAUUCUUGGUUUUCAUUAUGUGGACGUAUUUAGAGGUCUUUCCCUGUUGAACAGGCAAUGCUUGAAGGUGUCAAAAUGCAACUUGCAAAGCAGUAGAGUGAACCUUAUCAUGAACAAGGGGUGGCUAUCCGUUACUUCAAUGUGCAGUUAUUCGCAUACAGAAAAAUCAAAGUACUUGAUUAUGACGGUCAAUAAGUCUCCUUUCUCUUAAAUUCAACAUAAAAGCAGAAGAAUUCCAACUCAGUAUCUCUCUCAAAUGUCAUGAUGCUCAGAGAAACAAAAGUUGUGGCAUUAACAGUCUUCCACACUUUCUUGCUUGCAAUUUGUGCUGCUAAUAGAAACCAGAUAUGCAGGCCUUCUUCUUGUGGAGAUAUUAAAAAAAUUAGCAACCCUUUCCGAUUGAAAGGUGAUCCGUCUGGGUGUGGUGAUCCUGACUAUGAAUUGGUCUGCGAAAACAAUCGUACUAUGGUAAACCUGGACCAUGGGAAAUACUAUGUUGCCGAUAUCAACUACGAUAACUACACCAUUCGGAUAGUGGAUCCUGGGGUGGAAAAGGGCAACUGUUUCUCCGCUCCUCUCUAUUCCUUGACAAGAGAAAUAUUCCGUUCUGAUAAGAGAGCAUAUUUUUUGAAUCCGCAUGAAGCGACCAAUACAACGGUUUUGAUGAACUGCGAGCAGUCAAUAAGUGAUGGCAACUAUAUUCCUAUCACUCCUUGCAACAGAAGCAAUGUGACUUCAUCUUCCUCACAAGCAUAUGUUUAUGCACUAGUCGGCGGAGGAGACUCCCUGCUGGUGAAUGAUAUUAAGUAUUCAUGCACCAUUAGCAGGACUAUUAUUACUCAAUUCUUGAAGCCCGGCAAUCUUUCAAUGUCAGAUUUGCAAGAAAUACUUCUUCAGGGGCUUGAUAUUUCAUUCUUGCCCUUCCGUUGCAAAAGCGAAUGCCAUGUGAAAGGGCCAUACUGCGAUCUAGAUUGGACCAAAAAUACUGUAAAAUGUACGAGUAUGAAAAAUAUUUUUUAUUUUAUUUUAUUGUUUUGCUUCCUACAAAAAGGCUCUUCAACUAGGCAACUAAUGUUACUUGCUUAAUUGGCUUAAUAUUGCAGGGUACUCUUUUGGGUAUUGGUUCUCUGAAUAUUUGGAAUCUUUAAGGGGUGAGACUCCUGGAGUCAAGUUUUUAUCUUUCAUGUUUUAUUUCUUGAUAAAUUUCAUCUUUUAUUGUCCUAUAUCUUUUUCAUGUUAAAUUUAAUUUGUGUUUUUUUGGUUUUAUUUAUUUAUUAUUAUUAAUUAACAGAUCGGAGCACCUUUUCAAGCAACGGUAAGGCCUACUUAACAAUUGUUUGAAUGAAGCAUUUCUUUGAUAGGAUAAAAUUGAAUUUGAAUAAAGCAUGCCAUUAAACUGGAUUUUCCAAUUUGGGAAUAAAUAAAGGAGUGUUGUUAAAGAAUCAAUAUGUGAAAUUAUUAAAAGUAGAAUUGUUAUCAUGACAUUUUUUUCCAAAAAGACAGGAUUAAUCACUUUUUAGUUAUAUAUAUAUAUAUAAAAGAGCCAAGCGGGUUAAAUUAUGUGGUUUAGUUAGUUGGUGAUUACUAUUGUGGGUUCUCUAUUUUAUUUUCUUCCUUUUUUGAGAUAAAUUAUCAUUAUCUAGUUGGUCAACAUGUAGGAUUUGAAGACAAAAUGCAUAAGAUUCUUCAACUUUUACCACUAAUGUAAUUUAAUUACUUGAUUUCAUCAUGUAGGUGUGAGAGAAAGAUACAACAACUACUACCACUAUGAAACUGCACUUUACCUUGGUAAGGCUUCUAGAGUUUCUAUUAUCAUAUGAUUUUCAUAAAUUGGAUAAUAAUAAUAAUAAUAAAGACUUGUUAUAUUCAAUUACAUAUUUAAUCCCAUGUGUUAUAUAUAUAUAAUUGAGAUUCUCAUUUAUGUAGUGAUUGAAUUAUUUAUUUUAUUUAUUGAUGAUAAUCCAAGUAAGUAAACUACUACUUUAUUUUUAUUAUUAACUGUUAGUAUAAUAAAUGUUUAGAUGAAAGAGAAAAUCUCCCUGUCAACUUGAUAAUUAAUAAUACACAUAAUUUAUAUGCGCACUUAAUAAUGGUAUAGAUGAUUUUUAAAUAGCUAUAAUAAUAGUAAUAAUUUUUCUUGUAUAUCCAUAUCUCUUGCUUUUCAAUCAAUAAAUAAUAGUAAAAAUAACUCUCUUAUACCAGUCUAUUGCUCAUCUUUAAUAUGUAAUAUAUGCAAAUCUUUUGUUUUUAAAUUUAAUCAUUUUUUAAUCUUAUUUUUGCAGGUUGGAUAAUAAGAUACAUAGGUAAGUCUUUCAAAUCUCAUUUUUUAAUCUUAUGUUUUUCUUUUAGAACUCAUUUUGCCUUAGUCUUUUAGAAGUUUUUUCAAAGAAGAUUGUAUAAAGGUGCCUAGUUUUAUUGUUCUACAUUUGGUUGUACAAAUAUAAAUUGGAAUUCCAUUUUUAUGAAAUUCAGAAUUUUAAUUUCAAAUGAAAUCAUAUAUUUUUGCAAAUUUGUUAUGUAUUGAAUUUUAAAUUUAUUUAGAGUACAACCAAAUUAACAAUUGGGCAUCCAAUUCCAUUUCCCAAUUUUAAGCAAUCAAACAAAUUUUCUCUUUCAUUAUGUACAAUAUUGAUUGGAAACCUAAAAACAUCUUUCUAUUGAGUCAACCAAUAAGCAAUUAUAUGGGUGAAAUGACUUUUUAAACAAUCUUAUUUGGAUUCAAUAAUUGAAUGUAGAUGAUGAUACACCUUCCUCUAAUUUUAUUUUUUUUCUUGAUAUUUUUAACAUGUGAUUUAUAGGCAUGAUCAUCAUCGGGAGGGCCAUACCUGGUAUUUUGUGUUUGCUUGUCUAUUUAAUCUACAAGUUUCGACGAAGACACUUAUCAUUGGAUGAUGGUAUUGAAGAAUUU
rnacentral:lncRNA from 1 species